rnacentral:lncRNA from 1 species
GACAUUGAGCUCAGCAAUUCACCAUUGUCUCUCUUUAUCUCAAAAGAGCCGAAAGGGUUGAAGCCCACUUGUCCCCCGUGACACCAUUUUUAGGGUUUCUAAAGGAGAGUAAUGAGAUGGGGAGAAAGAGGAGGAAAAGCCACACUACAUGGACUUUGUUAUAAAAGGCUACGUGAUCUCUCUUAAUUUUCCCAAGGGACAUGCACUCUCUCACCACUCUAAAACAUGCAUGUAUCAAAAAAAAUAAAUUAGAAUUUUUUUUAAUAAAGGAACAUAUAUUAAUUCUCCUUGUAUUAUUUUUCUCAUUUUUGUUCCACCAAACCACCCUUUCUUUACACCACAUCACAGCUCCAUUCUCCUUGCAUGUCGCAUGUAAUUAAUCCCCAUUAAUCCAAUUAUCCAAAGCUCAAGAUCUUUUUUUUUCUUUUUCUUUUUGUUUAGAAAACUUAAUUAUAUGUUUUAUUUUAUAAAAAAGAAUAAUUUAAGGUGGAUCAUUGUACAUAAUAUAUGCCAUUUUGAAGAGUCCCUUUCAAUUUUAUUUAUUUAGUUUUUACUCUCUUAACUUUUGUUUUGUUUUGUUCUUCUCUUCUUUUUUUUUUUUGAAUUGAGUAGCUUUAGUCAAAUAACUAGAAGGUUUUAGCAAAUCCUCAUCAGCGAUUCAAUCAAAUUUAGUGUAUACCUAAAAAUUUCUUACACAAUAUUUGGAGUUGUUUACAUUAACUUAAUUUGAUAAAGUGGAAAUUUGUAAUGGACAAUUUGAUCUGUUCAGUUUAAUUUUUUUUUAAUAGAAAAAGAAUUUUGAUAUUACACUCAUAAAAUUUUUAUAUGAAAAAAAUGUAAAAAUAUAUCAUGUACGUACUGAAGCUUUUUUGUACACAUACGCUAUUUUUGGCAAUUAAAUUUACUAAAUUUUAUCAAAUAGUUCAACAAACUCUCUCUUCGGUCAAAGUUUCUAAUUACACAAUCAUUUUGCUCAAAUAUAAUGCACAGAAUUUUAUAAGAAUUCAAAUGUGAGAAAUUUUUUUUUUCGCUCUUAAAAUUUUCAUAAGCAUGAUGAAGGGAGAAUAGGAUGAGCCUAACUUCGACUUUUGUAUAUAUAUAUAUUUUUUUGUGUUAGAAUAGAAAAAUAUUUUUUUGUAUAUUUUGAAGUUUCAUAAAAUUACAUUUAAGUCAUAUAACAAAAACAACUAUACAAUUAGUAAUUUUAAUCUAUUUGAAAAAUUUUAAAUUAGAUUAAUUGUCAAAACUAAAAAUUCAGGAGCCGAUGCAUAAAAAAAGAUCGAGUUAAAGCUGGGAGAGUUUCAAUAUAUAUUUCUUUUCCUCAAUGUUUAUUAUUUAUAGGUUGUUGCACGAUCCGGCCUAAACGUAGCCCAUUUGGCGUGACAUAUAAAUAUAUAUACAUGUGUGUGUGACAUUCUCUAAGUUUGAUGAUGUUUAAUAUCCUACCACAUUGUUAUUAUUAUUAUUAUUGUUAUUAUAUUAUAAAUUAUAAUUAAGAAUAAUUGCGUCGACGCAAUUCACAAGACACAACAUGCCAGAGCUGACUCUAAUAAAAUGCCCAAGAGCCAGGCAUGCUGCAUGCAAAGGCCGGCCCCUCAUGCCAUCACUGCCAAGGAAUGUUUCGAUAGAAAACACAAAUAAUAAUAAUAAAAAUAAAAAUUGUAGGGCUAGUCCAUGUUCUAUUACCAUGCUACAACUUUAGCCCUUGUACUUUUCAUCUAAAUACAUUUGGUAAAAAGCGCGUAGAAUUUAUCUAAAUUAUAGAUCAUUUUGAUUUAGCUAUUCACUUUUUAAGUUUGUUUGAUUUGAGCCGGUUAACUUCAUUUGUUUUACAUAUUUAGUUUGUAUAUUUUAUGCAAUUCUCAUAACUGUAAAUUUAUCAAAAUAAUUAAUUUGUUUGAAUUUUGAAGUCAAAGUGCCGUUAAUUGACCCACAUCAAAUAAAUUGAAAUUUUGAAUAGUAAAAUUAAAAUUUUAAAAUAUUGAAGAGCCAAAUCAAAAUAACUGAUAGUUUAAAUAAGUUUGUAUAUUUUCAUCGAUAUAUUUUCUACUGUCUAAACUUUUAGCUGUGCUGUCCCCCACCAUAUAAAAAGAAAAAAAAAAAUCUGAGAAAGCUUUCUUAAUCAAAUAAUCUUUUUUACUUUUAUCUGAAAUAAUUAUUUCACAAAAAUAUUAGAUUUUUAGUUACAAGCAAAUUAUGUGUAAUAUUAUAAUUCCUGAUGUUUUGUCAAACACAAGUAGUAUGCAUAAAUUAUGUACUUAAUUUUAUUUUAUUUUUUUUCAUCUCUUGUACUCCGAAGUUUCUAACCAUUCAUCAAUUUUGAUGAAUGGUUAGGAUGAGAGAGAGAAAAAAAUUAAAGAAAAAUUCAAAAAGAAAAAAAAUUGAGAAACCCAAAAUACAUACAUAUAUAUAUAUAUAUAUAUAUAUAUAAAAUUAGGCUGGAAUACUAUUAAUAGCACCAACCUAUUGUUGCUAUUAAUUAGUUUUUUAGUCUUUGGAUUGAGAAAUGUACGGCUAGGAUGAUGUGGGCCCCCUAGGGUUGACUGGGUGGUUGGUUGAAUAGUAUAAUCUAACGGUGGAAAACUUGAUAGCACCAAAUUCUUGGUGCUAUCGAUAGUAUCCCAGUCGAACUCUAUAUAUAUGAGUAGGAUUACUGUAUGUACUAUUAUGAGUAUGGAGGCCUUCGUGCUUCUAAGCUAUUUUCGAUGAUAGAACUUUCGAAUCGACGGUCGGCUCCAUUAGACUUAAUCUAAUAUAUUUGAAAAAUCUAAAAAUAAAUUUUAUGAUUGUUCGAUAUCUAUUACCUAAUGAUCGAAAGCACUAAAUAUAAAUAGUUAAAAAUAAAAAUCUUAUAAAAAAUUAUGAUGUAACGGUAAAAUUUUCUAUCAGAAUUAUUGAAUGCGAAUUUAUAUGUGUGAUUGCAAAUAUGCAGUGUAAUUUUUCUUUCCUAAAAAUUUUAGGAUAUAUAAUUUGAUACUAUAGUAUAUUUUAUCUCUAAGAUGAUUUGUCUGAUCUCAAAAAAUUGCUUUAAUCUCAAAUAUGAUAAUUUUUAGGUGAAAAUGCACGACUUACUUGAACUACUGGUCAUUUUGAUUUGCUAUUCAAUCUUUUAAAAGUUUAAUUUUAUUGUCUAAUUUUUUAUUUGAUUUGAGUUAGUCAAUGAUAUUUUAACUUCAAAAUUUGAUUACUUUAUUUAUCUUUACAAUUUAAUUAGUAUACUUCACAUAAUUUUUGCAAUUAGAAAUGCAGUAAAGUAAUUAAGUUAAAUUUUAAAGUCAAAAUACUGUUGACUGAUUUAGGUCAAAUAAAUUAAAAUGUUGGACAGUAAAAUUAAACAAGUCAAAAUCUAUCCUAGUACAAGAACCAUGUGGCAAUGUAGUAUAAGAAAAAGUCUAAAAUGCUUGAUGUUGCAUUCCCGAUCAAUUAAAUUAUUUUUUUUGAGUUCACACGUACUGACUCAUUCCGUCAUGAUUAUUAAAAAAAUAUUUAUAUUAUUUUUUUCUUUAUAGAGAGAUAUAAUUAAAAGAAUUGAGCUCCUAUACUUUUAAAAGUACCAAUACAUUAGAGCUUGUAAAUUUUCAGUCUUUGGAUUAAGAAAUGUGUGGUCAGGAUAAUAUGACCCCCUAAGGUUGAGUGGGUGGUUAGUAGAAUAAUAUAAUUUAACUAGUAUAAAUGAUCAAUAAUAUAGAUCUAACGGCUAAAAAUCUAUAAGCACCAAGUAUUUGAUAUUUUUAAAAGCACCGUAGCCUUAAAAAGCUAUUAAUGUUGUGAUGUACAUAUUUUAUAGUAAACUUUCUCUCUCUAAGUACAGUAGCUCUUCAUAUAUUUUUACUGCAUAGAAAAAAAAAAAAAGUGAAAUAAAGACAGAAAAAGAAGUAUAUGGCAAGCCUGCACCCCACCCUUCUUUUUAUUUCCUCCCUUGUCUCUCUCUUUCCUCUCUCAUACUCUCUCUUUCUUUUAUCUCUCUCUCUCUCCCUCCUCUCCAAUUGUACAACUUUGUAAGCACUUCGCAUUCAUAUAUACCACCAUCCUCCUCCUCCUCCAAAUUAAGAACCUACUCCAAUGGCCCAAGAAGAGAAAUGGGAGCCCUUCGCUCAUGUUGUGGACGACGACGACGACGACGACGAGGUCUUCUUCCGCGGGCAGCUCCUCCCCCUCCGCCCCUCCCUCAGCUCCUCCUCCUCCUCCUGCUGCUCCUCCUCCGAGAGCGCCCUCUUCCGGUCCGGUUCGCUCUCCGACUCGCUCGACCGGUCCGCCUCCUCGACCGGCCUCAGCAGCCGCAGCAGCAGCGGCUGCGUCAGCCGCAGCCCCUCCUCCAACGGCGGCGCGGACGCGGCGGCGGGGGCGGGGGCGGGGGCGGGGGCGCGGCUCUCCGCGUCGGCCAACUACUUGCUGUUCGCGCUCCCGAGCCCCUCCCCGCAGAUCCGCAGGAAAGGCGGCGCCGGCGGAGCGCCGCCGCGCCGGAGCACGAGCUCGCACGGGCCCGGGCUGUUCCGCCUCGGCGUCGCGCGCGCCCCGGACCUCAUUGAGCUCCGCGACCUCCGCAUGCGCUCGCGCUCGCACGCCGACGCCGCCGCCGCCGCCGCCGCCGCGCGUGACGGGAAAAAAUCACUCGGUAGCAGCAGCAAUGGCAACAGCAACAUUAACAACAAUAACAACAGUAAUAGUAUUGGUGGUAGCUUCAGGUUGUUGUUUCCGGGCAAUGGAGGCGGACGCGGCAACGAGCAAAAGGCGGCGGGGAGGAGGUCGACGAGGGCGGCGUCGUUCAUGGGACGUGGGUUCGGGUGCAGCUGCGCGCCCGAUGCGGUCGAGCCGGUGAGCUCGCCGCUCGCGGCGUCUUCACGCAAGAAGGCGGCGGCAGCGGUGGUGUCAUCCCCACCGAUGAAGAAAGACGAGGAGGAGGAGGAGGAGCAAGAGAGAAGGGGGUUGAAGAGAGGUGAGAGCAUGUGUAGGAGGAGGAUCCUGGAGUGGAUGGAGGAGCUCUCCAUUGGAAAGGUGGUGGUCCGUUAGUGUGCCGUCGGACUUUUGUUAUUAUCUGCAGCAGUCGUGGAUUGCUCAGUUGAUCUGUAUUUUGAGACUGUUUCUUCUAAGACGAUGGUUUUAAUGUACUGGACUUCUUAAAAUUAUGUUGCUACUGCGUGAAUCUCCAACGUUUUAAAGAAUUUUUGAUUCGCUGGGCGUGUCGAUAAUCAAAGUGGCUGUACUUGGAGGAUGUAAUCUUAAAUCAACCCUCAAAUUCGAAACACGAAGUAAGUUGUAGUUUGAUGACUCGGAAAGAUAAGGAAUUCUAAGUCGCCAUAGAAUUGAGGACAAACUAAUUGGAGAGUCCACGUACGACUAAUGUGGUAGACCAAUUCAGAUCAUAAUUUAGAGAGAGAGAGAGUGGUAAAAAGGGUGGAGUGUUUGAAGAUGGUAAUUUUGGUUUGAAUUAAUGUUUUUUUUUUGGUACUAAAACUAAAAAAACAUCAAUCAAUUUGUAAAUGUUGUUCUACUUAUUGUUGACCUCUCUUUUUUCUUUUUUUUUUUCUUUUUUUUUUUUUGUGUGGAGUCGAGGGUCAAGUGUUUCUCGUGGAGGAGAAGGGUGUCAUAAUAAAAGCGUGAUUCUUUUUGAAAGGAGUGGUGGUGAUGGUGGAGGUGGUAAUGACUAAUGAGAUAGAUAUAUGACAAAGUUGCAUUUUGGGUGGUGGUGGUGAUGUUGAAAAGAAAAGAGAUCGUUUUUGAAGGAGAAAAAAGUGGACGUGAAUCAUUGAUCUCUUCUUAUGAUUCCAUGUUUGAAUCUUUUUCCCUUCUUUUUAUGGUUUGGUACACAUGUAUUUCCUCUUCUUUUCCUAGAAAAGACUCAUAUAAAUAUGUGUAACACUUUUUUUGUAAACAUUUAAUUUCUAUUUUAUAAAUUGAUAGUUAAUUAAAAUCAGGUUGAAUUCGAUUAAUCAUCCUUAUUAUUGGACACGAGUUCAGGGUCUGUUUGGAAACAAGAAAAAUAAAAGAAGAUUUACAAUUUGUGCAUAAUAUAACUAACAGAGUAAUGUAUUGCUUUAGAUAAAUUUGGUUGAUUGUGAAGGUGUUUGGUUUUCUUCUAAUUUUGUUAAUAAAACUGAUGAUUGAAAUAGUAAUGAUCGAGAACAAUAUACGGAAAAGCUCCAACCUCUUUUUUGUUUUACUCCAAAAUUAUAAGAAAAAGUGCCUCAAUUGUUGUAUUUUUUAAAUCCAAAACUGUUUUGAAACACCUAUUUUGUGAUAGGAUACUUGGGCAUUCCAAAUACUCUGGAUUAACUCUGGAGUAACAGGUUACCCCAAUUGGCUCUAACACUGAAGUUAUUAAAGUACAAAAAAUAUAUAUUUUAUAAUUUUAGAAGAUCAAAUAUUUCUUUUUAAAAAUAUGUUAUAUUUAGAUAAGUUCUGUACAUUCCGCCAAAAAAAACCGUUUACAAUAUAUUUUGGCGUAUAUUAAUUUGCAACAUACGAAAAAGGCUUUAAAAUGACAAGAUUUAUUUUUUUGAUUUAAUUUUUUAGAAUAUUUUUAAAAUAAUUUUGCUAAUAUAUUUUAUUAUUAUUAUGUGUUUGAGUUAUAUGAGACCGUCCAUAUGGCCUAAGCAACAUUUAUUUAAAAAAUAAAAAGAAAACUUCAAAUAUCAUUCAUGUGGUUUCGCACUUUUUUAUUUUAGUAUCCUAUGAUUUAAAGUGUAUCAAUUAAGUAUCCCGCGAUUUUAUUUUUCCUCUUUUUAUUAUCUCCUUUACUAUUUUAUUUCGUUAAAUCAGUGACAAAGUUAAAACUAAAAGAUAGUAAAUUGAAUAUUCGAUAAAUCUAGAUAGAAUAUCUAAAGUUUUUUGUAAUAAAAUGUUAAUGGCGGAGCCGACAAAAAGAAAAAAAAUGAAAUCAUAAAAUACUAAAUUGAUACAUUUUAAACCAUACGGUAGUAAAGUGAGAAAGUACGAAACCACAGAAGUGGCAUCAUUUGUUAUCAUAUUACUUCUGCUUUAGGCUACUGCAAGUACCAAAGUGCAAUUCCAAAAGCUUAUAACAUUCAGUUACACUCAGAAGACAAAAGAAACAGUAAUAAAUAAAUUUUGAAGCAAAAGAAAACAUGUUUAUUAGGCUACAAGCUCUUGUACUAACUACUUAUCCAACCCCUCAAAUUGAAUCAGUAAAUAUUGUUGCAGGUUAAAUUUUUUGUUUUUGAUAUUCCAUAUGCAUGCGAAACAAAGUAAUAUCAUUCUGAAGCUACUGGUAGCUAGGCUUUCUGUUGAUAGGUAGACCAGCGUCACGCCAACGUGGUGGAGGUCUGAUUGAGUCAAGUCAUAAGCGAGAUUUGUGAGCAUUAUGUUUGUACGCUUUAAAUGAAUUGUUCGUUUCUUUUCUAGCAAUUUUAGUUUUUGAAACUAUGAUUAAUGUCUACGAUUCAACAAGUGAUAUUAGAGUAGGUCAUUUACGUAGAGGGUAUCAAAUUGGGUUGAAUCUCAAUUGAGAUCCAUACACACUAUAUAUGUGUACUUUUAUGUAAAUUGAUUGUUUAUUUUGCUAACCGCUCAAGUUAUUGAAAUUACGACCUGCACUAACAAUCCAACACUUCCUACUCAAAAGCUUCUCUUAAGAAUCGAUGCAAGAGAUAUAAUUCGAGAACUCAAGAAGACUAGAGAACACACAUGUUGUGAAAGGCACGGAAGUUCGAAUCUCUGACUUUUUAAGAUAACCAUUUCAUAACAAUCAACUACUUUAGACACUGAUUAUUAACGCCUUAUAAUUAAUGCUAAUUAGGGAUUUUUCUAGGAUUUGGCCCAAGCUUGAAGUUAAUUAAUCAACAAAAAACCCCUCGGAGACGACCACGCGAGCCCUAUAACUCGAUCAUGCCAUAAAAAGCAACAACUAUUCCCCACUGUAGCUUUUACAUGCUUUAUUAAUAUAUAUAAAAAUAUAUGAAUAUAUAAAAAACAAGUUAUAAGAAAUUUAGAGGGGAAAGAAUCUUUCGCACGCCCAGUUUCAUCAAUUAGUGUGCGCACUCAUCAUUCCCAAACGUUGUGUCAUUGAGCUCAAAGCUGCGGUCAAAACACCACGCCACUCCCUCAUAUAAAAUGGAAAAAGAAUUCGAUAAAUUAUAUUUAAUAUUAUUUGUUUUUGAAUCUUUGGGAAAUUAAGUUUCUCUAUCACCCAAAAAUAAAAAUUGAAUCUUUGAUAAGUCAUAAGUGUCAUUUUGGUUAUUGAUUACGAGGAUUCGCCACUCUCUCUUUCUCUCUCAUUCUUAAAAAAAAAAUUCGGAAUUUUAAAUGCUUUUUAUAAUGGAAUUGAUAUUUAUAAGUUCGGUAUAAGAAAUUUUUUUUUUUGGUGUAUAAAUACGGUAAGGUGUUCAAUAUUCAGUGUAUCUUUUUAAUUUCUUUAAAAAAAAAUGUUACACUUGAUUGAUAAAAUGUAAUCAGAAUUUCAAAUAAAAUAUUAUAUUCUAAUUUUAAGUUAUUUUUUUGGAGAAUAAGAUAAAUCAGUGUGCACUAACAAAUCAUCGAUGCCUAAAUGUCGUUGAGGAACAAAAUCUAACUUCUUUUUUUUUUUUUUCCAAUCGCAUGUUCAAAAAAAAAAAAAAAAAAAAAAAAAAAAAAANGUUAAGAAAAAGUAGCUAUUCCAGGGAUAGGGUUAAGUUCAGGGUUAAAAUGGUGUUAAAAUUUUUUUGUGUUUGGUUGGAGGUUGGAGUUAGUCUAGGAUAGUGAAAAAAAGUGUUUGGUUGGAGUAGGUGGGAUAAAAAGAUAAUGAUUGAUAAAGAAGAAAAAGGUGAGAGCUCGGAAUGCGUGCGGGGUUAAAGUUGGGAGGGGGAGUGGGGUUAAUGAUUGAUAAAGAAGAAAAAUGUGAGGGCUCGGGAUACGUGCGGGGUUAAAGUUGGGAGGGGGAGUGGGGUUAGUAAACCCCACUAACCCGGUUUGGGGUGGGAUUUACUAACCCCACCCCAAAAGAGUGGUGUUUGGGUAUAAAUUCGGGGUUAAGGGGUUAUUCCACCCCUUAACCCCCAACCAAACGGUGGCUUAGAGAGUAACUAGUCGUACUUAGCAUAGUUUUCUAAAAGUUUAUUUGAAAUUGCGGUGAGAAAAUAUGAUAAAAAAAAUCUAUUUUCUGUAUGUAAUAUUGCGUUUCGCAUAUUGCAAUAAGUCAGUUAUGAUAUAUUUUCUGUAGUUCAACCGGAGAAUGCAGAAAUAUAUCUCUAUAUAUUUUUAUCUCAACUCUAUUUUAUCUAAUAACGUCAAAUGUGUCUCAAUACCAAAUUAAGUCUAAGGCUUUGUUUGAUAUUGAGGCCUAUAUAACGCUAUUAGAUAAAAUUGAGUCGAGGAAAAGCAUAUAGGGAUAUACUUCUGCGUUCUCCGGUUCAUCACGAUAUACGGAACGACAAUAUUACGUACGGAAACAGAGUAUUUUUCCAACGUACUUUCUCACCACACAUAACCCAAUCUUCCCGCAAUCCCAAACAAAACCUAAGAGCUUAAUGCUUGAUAUUUGAAGUUUGAAAUUCGAAAUUUAGUUAUUUCAUAUUUUUAGCUAAAUUGUUUUUAAAAAAAUUGAACCGUGCAUGCAUGGCGGAAACUUUAUUUUAGGUAAAAGAAAAGGAAAAAAAGUAAAAAAGAAAACAAAGCAGUAGCUUCUUCAGAAAUGUAAUCAUCAAGUGACGGAAAAAGUGCAUCUAGCCCCCUUCUCUUUUUUUUUAUUUGUUUUCAUGUCUGAAUGUGACGCACCUUCCUACAUUUCGUUCAAGAAGAUGCUUUGUGUCCUUAGUCUUGGUGGCAACCGAGUGUUUCUUUAUAGGAUUACUUUUAUGUAUGUUCCUACAAAUAUAGUGAAUGACAAAUAUAUUUUUAUAAAGUUUGACUUUUAUAUAUUGUGUCUGUAAAAAUCAUGACAUUUUCAAAUAUGCCCAUCUGGUUUGCUACCGUUAGGGAAUAGUUAGAAAAUUUUUUAUAUUUUCAAUUUUGCCAUCACAAAUAUAUCCCUUCAAAAAUCAUAACAGUAUAAUAUAAAAGGAUAAAAAUAUCAAAAACUAACGAGGGUUAAGUAUUUAAUCUAUGAUUAACUAAACUUUUCUAACGGAUUCUAACAGCAGGGAUAUAUUUAAAAAUAUCAGGACUUUUGUAGGAAUAACAUAUUAAAAUUAAAUUUUAUAGAAAUAUUUUUGCUAUUUACUAUAUUUGCAGGUACCUAUAUGAAAUUAAUCCUUCUUUAUAAUCUCUUCUGUCAGGGCUCAACUGAGGCGUUUUAGUGCAGAUACUAGAAGUGUCCUAUUGUACAACAUAUUUUUAUGUAUUGUUUCCUCACAUCUUAAUUUGUAUCACCUAUUAUUAGUGCUUAGAUUUUUUUUUCUUAGAAUUAAUUGCAUACAAUCCUUAUAAACAUAUCGAAUAGCAAAUAUAUUCAUAUAAAGUUUAAUUUUUUAUUUUUAUCCCUGCAAAAGUUAUGGCGUUUUCAAAUAUACCACUGUUGUUAGAUUCCGUUAAAAAAAUAUAGUUAAAUAUAAGUAAAAUACGGUAUGAGUUAUUGAUCUUUAUCUAUGUAGUGAAUAGAAUUUUCUAUCAAAAAAUCAACAAAUUCCGAUUCUUUUAUACCGUUAAACUAGAAAGUAUCUCAUACCGGCUAUUAAAAAUUGUCAAAUUUGUGACCUCUUGAUCAUAAGGUAAAUGAUGUCGAAAAAUUAUAAAAUUUGAUUUCUAGAAGUUUUAAAUGCUGUAAAUAACGUUUAACGAUAUGGAUCGUCGAUUCGGAAGCUCUUUCAUCGAAAAUGAUUUAUGAGUACGAGAGCGAUCGUACUCAUAAUAGUAUAGUGUCGACCUAUAUACUAUAUAUAUAUAUAUAUAUUAUAUAUAUAUAUAAUAACUAUAUUAAAUUAUCUUAGUUAGGUAUAAAGGUGGCUUGAUCUUUCUCUCUUUUUUUUUUUCUUUUUUUUUUUUUUUCCUAGAGAAUGGUAGCAUUUUAUUAUUUGUCGUUCGCUAUGAAAAAUAUUACAGUAGAGUUGAAAGAGGAGAUAAUUUUUGGCCAUAGUUAAGUUUUGCUUCCGUUUCAGUGACGAUUAACUAAAAAGUUUACGAGGAUCUCAUUUUUAAAGCCUAAGAGUCCUACUACUAAAAUGGAACAAAAACUAGAAUUUUACGCGCAUUUUUCUACCUAGUCGAAAUUGCAAUAAGCGCGUCACAUGAAGCGGAUGUCAUACCUUCAGUAAUUCCGAUUUGCGGGAUGUUUCAAAACAGGGAAAAAUGAAUCGACUUCGCAACAAAAAUCAUCAUCAAUUCAUUUAGAAGUCCGCGACUUGGGCCUACCAAAUGUUUGGAACUAAAUAAAUAAUCCCCACACAUUAGAAUGAAUGUAGAGGCAACAAAAACAGCAUUGUGAUCUGCUUUUGCAGGAAUGUUGGACCACACACACAUAGCAACAAAAUCCAAAAUUGCAUGCAAUCUUAUAACAGUACAUUUGAAUCUGCAACAUUUGCAAUCUAGUUCAGUAAAUCAUCCCAUCUGCAGUACUGCCCGCCCGCUAAUGCGCGGUAGAAUCGAUCCCUGCAGUAAACCGGCCUUCCGUCAGCAGCCUCUGCUGCAGCAGCUGCUAGAUCAUCAUCCUUCAUUACUUCCGCAGGUAAUCUCAGUAGCUCCUCUUUACUGAAAGUGUUUACAGAAACAUAUAAGUUAUAAUGUUACAUACACAGGUUAUGUUUUGAGAUCAAUGAUAGGCGCAAAAUCAUACCGUAAGUUCGGUUUGCUCUUCGAAGUCGGGGCUGUCACAUUGUUAUCUUUCGGUUCGAGAACAGAGUGUAUGAUCUCUUCCACCGGGGCUGCGAAUAUGAAAAGUGAUACAGCAGAAACAAGCAACACUCCCGUGCCGACCAACGUCUGUUUCAGCAUGUUAAUCACCGGCUUUACCUGCAGAAGAAAUUGGAGAUAUCGAUCUUAUUGCUCUCACAAUGAUCUUAACUUGUUUCUGAAGCUACUUUUGUGGUCUUUUUCAGGGUUAAAGAUUUCAAUGCCGAUAAGCUCACAAAUGCCGAAUUAUGAAUUAUACUACUGAUUACCUUGUAUGAUCCCAGUAGCCGAUCACGAGCCAAUACCUGUGAAAGUUAAAAAAGGGCAUUAUCAUUUCUCUUCUUUUUAAUUUUAUUUAACAUUGUAUGAACAUCAAAAUAGUUUCAAAGCCAUGUGUAUAUCUAUAUAGGCCUCUGAGGAGUUUAUUGACUACAUAUGCCUGCGAGAUAGAACAGUUAGAUUGGUCCUUAAAGACGAUUACGAUUUCGUAAUGAGUUAAAGAUGCCUUGAAGCUAAGACGUAGCGCUUCGUCGUGUCUCAACCUUAAGUUGCUCGCGCGCUCAGCUUUACGAAAAAGUUUGAUUUCACAACUGUUCUGCACUUACUUCGGGCGGCUUAACCCACAUCUGACCGUCGUACCACCCCGUUUCUUCGUAAGGUAUGACAGCUGAAAGCAGCCUAUCCCCGACGUAACUCCAUCCCUGCAGUUUCACAAACAGAAAAGAAAAAUUAGCUCCUGCAGCUAUUAAAUACAGUAGAUUUGAGAAUAUUGUCUUCAAACUAUUAAAUUCGACUUUGAAAAUAAGGAUCGCGAUUGCAAUUGUCUUAUUCUACUACUUUGCAUCAAUUCAAUUGCUGCAUUUACCAGAUAUAUCCUCAGAACAACCAGGGACACCAGAAGAAGAGUUCCGAUUCCCGCAGCGAGGAUAAAUUUCAGCGGAUCCUGCAUAAUUCAGAAGAAAAUGUUUUAAGUCCAAUUAUUAUUAUUAACGUGUAAGUCUCAUAUAUUCUAAUCAGAAUUAUUUUCUCAUCUGAUGUGGGACUAUUGGGGCAUUAUAUACCGUACCUUGGAAGGGUUAAAGCUUGCGGCUGCAAUUGGCGCUCCGAGAACCGUAAACGUUACGAGCCAUAAACCGCCGAGACGGAGGAAGAAGGAUCGCGGUCUUAGCUCGGCCCAGGAGUAAAGGGUGCUACUCUUCAAAGAAGAGUACUCAUUUACCUGUAAUUGUGUGAUUAAUACACAUAGAAUGUAGAUUAAGCUGUUCUAUGACAAUUAACAAGAUGUUAGAUCAUAGCUGUACUACAUAAUGGCUCUUUAACUCACAGGUCUCUGCUCAUAAGGCACCUCAAUCUCCAGGCCCGGGUCCCAGCUUUGUCCCGCGAAACCGCCCGCUCCGCGAUCGUCCUUCAACGCCCCGACGAUGCUGACGCGGAUCCUGCUAACAUGGAUCCACCGGAGACGGUGGUUCGGUCUCCGAUCGUGAACACUCCGGUGACGAAAAUCGCCCGGAAAUCCACAGCAUUCGACCGCGCGGUCGGAGAUCCGCAACCGGAGCAUGUGUUUGGUGGCAAAUUGGAAUGAAAAGCUUUUGUAAGUUUGUUCUAUGAGCUAAGUUACUGUAAAGGCUUUAUGUAAACCACAUAUGUAACAUGUUCUCUUUUGUAGCCAUGCAUCUUUUACGUGGUAGGGAGUGUUUAUCCAUAAGGAAUUAAUGAGUGUGAUUCGAGCUCAAGUGCACACACCCAAAAAUCGAAGUGAUUGGUGUGAAUCGUCGCCGUCGGAUGAGUAUCGGACGGUUCUCAUUCAAGGGUUGUGAUGUGGGGUGUUAUGGUACAAUUUUGAGGGGUUUUUUUUUUUUUUUUUUUAACUCUCAAUUUUGUGUGGCUCCGAAGAGGCGGGGGGGAGAAGGGAGUCGCACACGUGGGCGGUGGAUUCUCACACGUUGUCUCCGCGUGUGGCCUCAUGUUGUGCCAGCUUGGCACUGAGAGAUAUUCUCUCCUCAUAAUUUUAAUCCCUAAAAAAUAUAAAGAAAAAAAAAAAAUCUACUCCUUGUUUAGAAUAUUGUAGAUGUAAUGCAUCAAAUAUUUAGUAAAAAAAAAUUAUGAGGCUUGAUUGCAGUAAUUCAGAUGGUUCGAAUCGUUAAUCAUAACGAAUAAAAGUUUAUGAAUAUAAAUAUCACGUGUCUCAUAAAUAAAGGACAAAAACUGUAAUUUAUCCUUUUUUAUUAGUAAACUACUCAUCUCCACCAACAAUGAAAAUAACAAAACAUCUGAAUUUACGGUAUUGUAAUUCUCUUAAUAGUUGGGAAUCUAUGAUGAUUUCACAGCUUCAUCAACACCUCUGACAACUUCUCAACUAGAAUUAUAAUAGUGAUGAUUUGAAUAUUUUGACUUAAAAAUAUAAAAUAUUGUCGGAAUAUUACAAACCGUAAAAUGAACAGUGCAUAGAGAGACAACUUUCUCCUGCACAUGGUGGCUGCUAAUAGGGCUGCUAACGGGUCGGGUCACGGCCCAAAAAUUCAUCUCUAAAAUCUCGCAUCGUAGCGCCCGACCCAACUCGAGCCCAAAAAACAGUGGCCCAUCAUUAUCCUCAAUUAUUUGCCAUUCUCAAGUAGGCUCCUCCACUAUUUAUUUUAUUUAUCUAUUUACUUAUUUUAUUGAGACCUCUCAACUUUUAUCUUUUAUUUCAUUUGGAGUUCUUAUACUUAAUUGUCUUAAAAAUAUUAUCAAACUUAAUAAUUUUGUAGUUAUUAACCCUUGUUUAAUUUAGUUUUAUUUGUUAAAAAAGCAAUUAAAUUUAUUAAAUUAAGCAAAUUCACCAUUAAAUUUGAUAGAAUAUUUAAUUUUUUUAAACUAAGAUCACUUUAUUCUAAAAAAGGGGCCUAUUUAGAACGGGGGGUUUCUAUACAUUUUUACCUUCCAAUUAUUUUCACCCCCCAAACCUUACCGUACAAUUUGGGUUGAUCUGGGACGUUCCUAAUAAUUUAAUUUAAAAAUUUUAAAAAUCAAUUAAAUCACGGAGAUUUGCGUUCGUUACACGUGUCACGCGCCCACCUCAAUUACACACUCCCGGAGCGAUUAGAAGAGCUCGUCAUUUCGAUCUAACGAAACGAAAAAAAAUCGAAAAAAAGGCCAAAAAAAAAAAAAGGAAAAAAAGGGAGCGCCGUCGCGGGCGAGGGAGAAGGAGAGAGCUCGAUCGAUCGGAGAAAAUGGGGGGAGGGAACGGCCAAAAAUCCAAGAUGGCUCGGGAUAAGCACAUGGAGAAGAACAAGCCGCCCAAGGGUCGAUCCAUCGUCGUCCUCAUCUCCUUCGUUUCUCUUCUUUAGAUCUCUCUUAGAUCGUUUCCUCUCGCUAGAUUGUUGUAGAUGUCGUCUUAGAUCGAUGGGAUCGGCUCUUGUUUCGGUGAUGGAUUGAUCGAUGUGGUGCUUGUUUAGCAGGGAGCCAGCUCGAAUCGAACAAGAAGGCGAUGACCAUCCAGGUUACGAUCGGCGCUUUUUCUCGCAUAUAUCCCUCUUUUUUUUUUUGGUUCGUGAGCUAAGAUCUGUUCUAGAUCAGUUCUUAGGGUUUGAGAUUGAGGGUUUAGGAAGAGGAUUUGGUUUCUGAUGGUUCGGAGGAUGGUUUGAGGAUAGAAAGGAGGGAUCUUUCGUGUAGUGUAUAUAAUCCAUGGAGUUUUUAUGUGCUUAACUUUGAUUAAGCGGUUAAUUGCUCUUUCUCUCUCUUUUUUUUUUUAAAAAAAAAAGUGAAACACCAUAUUGAGCAAACAGGUCUUAGAAUUGGACAGGACAUAGCUUAGAUUGCCCUCUUUCUGUUGAAUAGAGAUUGAGAUUGUAAAAGAUCUUCGAGAUUUGGGUAACUGACUUAGUCCGCUAGCAUUAAUAACUCGUUGCUUAUUAGUAUUAUUGUCCCUUAUCAUCCUUGUAUCUGAUGUGAGAGGAUUAGGGUGUUAGAGACUAGCACUGAUGUUCUCUAAAAAUUAUCCGGCGAUAUAAGACUCGUCUCAUAAACCGGCUCUUAUAUCAAAUGUAAAUCACCUAGUCCAUUAGUGUUAAUAACUUGUUGGGUCUAAAUUACUGGUCCAAAAUAUCUAUUAAAGUCCGGUCCUGAUAUUCCCGAUCAUAAUAUAAUCUCUUUACCUUCUUGGUUUGGAUGUAAUAACUCAUUAAGCCCUUUGAUCACUAUGCUUUGAUUUUUUAUGUAUAUAAGAAAUUUUUUUCAAACCUUUGUAGAUCAUGUUUAUGCAUUAUAGAUAACAAUUUUGUUGAAAUUGAAACCUCUCUUCUCUUACUAAUAUCACUAUAUGUUUCUUGGUAGAAAUUGGUACUUGCUAAUGUCAUCUCUCUUACGGUAACUGUAAUGUAGUGCAAAGUUUGUAUGUAAACGUUUAUGUGUACCACAUCGGAAGUCAAAUGCAGGGAGCAUGCCGAAGCUAAACACCCAAAGACGGAUGUAUGCCAGUGCUUUCCUCAUCUGAAGUAAGUAGAAGUAACUAAGUAAGAUUGAAUCCUAGUAUGUGUUAUGGGAAAAAGAUUGAAAUACUAUGUCUUCAAGAAAAUGUGCAUGCUUUGACUGUGUGUGUCUCAAUCGUCUUUGGUUACGAUUCUUAUCUCUUGGAAUAGCCCAUCAAAUGUGUAAUGUGUCGUCGCUCUUGUAUCCUAUUCUGCCUUUACUGAGCAAUAUAAGGUACGCGAACUGGUUGUGGUUGAUGGAUUUGUAUGGUAUCAAACUAUCCCAAUUAUCAAUAAUUAAUUCGUUUCUCUUGAGUCUUCUUGCUUAUUUGUUGAGUCUUGAUAGUUAUUUGAAGUUGUUGCUCACUGCGGAAAGCAUUAGUCUAUCUUUUGUAUGUAGUUGUGUAUUCUAUAAAUGAAAGAUUGCGCAUAAUUGCGAAAAUAUAGCCUCAUGAAAUUUGCUUGCUGAUGCCAAAGGCAAUUGCCAUUUCUGAGUGAGAAGAAGUUUAUUUGUAAUGUGCUUCUACUGUAAAGUUAUCUUAUCAGUUUGUAAGAUGACAUAUUGCCUGGGUUGUUUUACCUGAUGCUUCAGUUUAGAGGGGUGAACUUGUAAGAGGAGCUUACUGGUACAGCACAUAUUUACAUCCAUGUCUUGUGAUAUUUUAUGUAUCACUAUUCCUAGUUUUCCUAAGGAUCUUUAUGUGUGUCUUGUUAGAAAUUGUGUUUGGAUCAAACUUUGAUCCACAACAACAGAAUUGGGUCUAUUUCGAAUAGGUUCCAAUCUUAAACUCGAUCCAAAGUCUAGAUACAAAAACCGACAUCUAGCAGGUUCUUGGGACUGAGUUUAGAUUUUUUUUUUUUUUUAAAAAAAAAGCAUGAUCAGAUGAAAAAAAAACCUGAUUGAGAACAUGAUCUAGUUUUGUUGGUGUUGAUUAAAACCUGAUCCUACUCAAAUAUCAUCUCACGGGAAAAAAGAGUAGCAAGCUCAGGGCGCUUAGUUAUAUUUCUGGAGCAGCUAGACAGAUGAGAUGGCUUAGUAUUCCUACCAUUGCCUGACUCCCAAUCUAUCUCUCACGUCCGUCUCUUCCACUUGGAAUGAGAAGAUGGUGGUUGCCGGCAUCUAGUUUGGGAGUUCCGAAAGCAGAGAGAUUGAAUAAAAGUCGAUUUCCACGCCCCAUUCCUACCACCCAGACAUCCUAGCAUGACAUCAGGCUCGCUCCAGAAGAGGAAAGACAGAUAACCCUAGCAUGACAUCAGGCUCGCUCCAGAAGAGGAAAGACAGAUAACCGGGAGAGAUCUUCGAUUCACUCCUCGCUAGCGUGUGGGUUUUGACAGGAUCAUGAUGCGACCCUUACCAUCCAUAGCAUAAACUCUCCAACUUUAUUACUUGGAAGGUUAUGCCAAUAAGCGUAGCCACUUUCAGUUAGGAUCCCUGUAGCUUUUCUUCUUUUGACUGCAACGAUGAAAGAGUUAACUCCCCCCAAUAACUACUGCUAUUCUUCUUCUUUGAUCCUAGGAAAGGGAGGUCAGUCAAGGAGAAUCCAAUCAACCUAGUAGAAUCUCCGUCUAUCCCUACCAACACCCGUUCUUCCUGUGAUAAUACACCGUACACAAAUAUAUGGGCAUUGAUUUUCCUGUUUACAGCCAAACUGUUUAUAGUUCUCUCUUACUAAUCAGUGGCUGGCACGCAGUACAGGUUGAGUUUGGGUCCGUCCCCCCUGUUUGUCCCAUCCCCAAUUAUUAUUAUCCUGUCUCACAGCUUUUUCAUUGGAUAUGAUGUUUGGUAAACUAGAAAUGCUGACGUCCAUCAUUUUUUUUUUAAGAAAAAGAUAGUAAGCUAUAUAUAUUUCUUUUAUUUUUAUUUUAAAAUCAAACUCCACUGAAAGUAUAAUACAUCUAUACUUUGAACUUAAAAUUUUAGAUAUUAACCAUCAAGCCUCUAUCAAACUGCACUAGGUACGGCCGGUAAGUCCUCCAUAAUAUUAUUUCUUAUGUUUUUGGAAGGUUACAACCUACAAUGCGGAGGUACUGUAAAAGUCUUGUAAAAAAUAUACCCAAUGAAAACCAAAAAAAUAAGUAUUUCUUAUACACCCCUCGCCACUAUGAAAAAUUUUCAAAUUUACCUCUUAAUAUCCGAAGCACAUUUCUAAAAUCCAAUCCUAAUCAUCGGGAGUACGAUGUUUUUAAAAUUUUGAAGGAUAUGCUAACUGUUAAACCUAGAUAUUAUCCCAAAAAAAUAAAUUUAUGAGAGAGAGAGAGAGAGAGAGAGAGAGAGAGAGAGUACUACUCCCGAAUUUAGAAGAUUCCCCAAGAAAUGCAAAAAGCUACUCAUUAGUCAUGCAUUCACCAUUAAUUAGAAAAAAAUUGCAGCUCUAAAGAUGGUUCAUGCGUUUCUUAAAAAAAUAGAGAAUAACUCAUCGGAUCCUAUUCUUUACCCCUUCUAGAGGGGUCUUACGAUUAGAGAGGUCAACCAAACUCAUAAUAAUAAUAAUAAUAAUAAUAAUAAGGAUAAACUUCAAAUACCACUAUUGUGAUUUCACACUUUUUCACUUUAGUAUCCUGUGAUUUAAAGUAUAUCAAGUUAGUAUCUUGUAAUUUUAUUUUUAUCUUUUCGUCAACUUCUUCGUUAAUAUUUUGUUAAAUUAUAUACAAAAAAACUUCAUACCCUACAUAAGUUUAUCGAAUAUUCGCUUUCGUAUCUUUUAGUUUUAACUUUGUCACUAAUUUAACGAAAAAAAAUUAAUGAAAUUGAUAAUAAAAAAAAAAAAUGAAACCAAAGGGUACUAAAUUGAUACACUUUAAACCAUAGGAUACUAAAUUGAUAUACUUCAAACCACAGGGUACUAAAGUGAGAAAGUGGAAAACCACAGGGGAGGUAUUUAAAGUUUUCCCUAAUAAUAAUAACAGGCGAGAGAAACUGAGGGAGUCUCCCCUACUGCUCUAGCCUAAUAAAUUAACAUCAAAAGAUAAAAUACACUUCCAACAGAUUUAGCACUUCCUAUUUUUGAUGAGCUACCCCAGUAAUUUUUCUAACCGACCCACGAAAGUGCAUGACCUACUCAUAUCAUCUUAGUUUCCAUCUAUUCCCACAGAGAACACAGCCUUUCUGAGAUGAAUAAAAUAAACCAAAUUAUUAAAGUACACUAACAAAUUUUUACAAUUUAAAUUGAUCAUACAGUUCAAUAAAAGACCAGGUACUAGGUAAUUUCACUCGCUCAGCAAAACAUCUGGAAACCACAAUGUUCAUACAAAUAGAUAGAUAUUCAAAUCAGUUACACCAGUUGUAACCUAAUGAAGCGCUGAGCAAUACCUGUAUGUCGAACUACUAGGGACGCAUUCUGCUGCUCUCCGCUGCUCUUACUUGUUGGAAAUAUGGAUGUGCCUAGAAAUACCCAACAAGAAAAAAAAAAAAACGUAAUAGCAGUAGAUAGUAAGAUGCUUGCGGCGACUGCUAAUAUGGCCUAAUAGACAUAAAAUGCAGAGCUUGGAAAGAUAUCAAGCUCUCAAGGAUUGGCACACAAAUUCUUGGUUCUUCAGUAGAAAGAAUUUGAGAAGCUUUGUUUGUACAAAAUAAUAUUUUGGGUAUAGAAGUUCCUAAACAUCAAGUUCGUAAAAAGUUAGCUUUAGUAAUGCACAUAUCAGUUGAAUUGGAUGCCCUCUGUUUUCUAGAUUCCUAGAUGGUCUCAGUCUCUUAAGUUCUGCGAGUUGGUAAAUUAAACACCGAACCCCUUAUUAACUAAAGAUGAAUUUUCGUGGCACUUCCAAGUACUUUUCUCUGUGAGAGUAACCUUAGGCUGCCAAUUGAAUUUCAGUCAUAACGAGAGAGAGAGAGAGAGAGAGAGAGAGAGAGAGAGUCAAACUAAUUAUAAGCUAAGACAAAAUUACCAUAGCUUCUCGUGCUGUGAGCCUAUCCUGAUGAUCAUAGCGGAGAAGCCUAUCAAGAAAAUCUAUUGCCUGCGUGAAAAGUUUAAAAGUUAGCAGCACUACUAUCAAGGAAUAUGUUGAUUAACAGACUGCCAGAGAAAAUGCAAAUGCUUUGAUAAAAUAAAGAUACCUCCGGAGAAACAAGAUGCUGAUUUUCUGCAUUAACAAACUUUGACCAAGGCUUCCUGCUGUGUCUGCAGCAAGUAACAGUAAUUAAGUAAAUCAGCUGUAACGAGGCGACAGUAUUUCUUUCUUUCAAUAAUAAAGUCUGUACGGCAAAACGAAGGACAUAAAAUGCAAAUAACAUACAAAAUAACACUACAACAUAAAAGGACUAUUACCUUCCAACAAGAGCUUCAAGCUGGGGAUCAAGCUCUAGACGGUAUUUGUUUAAAUAAGCAUUAAGCUCAUCUGUACCAAGCACCUAAAAGUAACAAAAGUUAAGACUUCAAUUCAGCCACACUUUGGCUAGAACGCAAGUACUACUAAAUAUCACUAAUAAAUUUUUUCCGUCAUCAAUCUUUAAUAUCAAUUCUCACAAUUACUAACUUCUCUACUUCUGAAUAAACCAAUUCUCAUCAUUUCUACCGCAGAAGAUCGUAAAGUUCAAAUUGAGUACACAUAACAUAAGAAAUUACCAUGCGCAGACAACAAUAGGAUGAAACCAAAAAAAAAAAAAAGAAGUCUGAUCAAAACCUUGGCAAUUUUAACAAGUUGAUCAUGAUUGUCAUGGCCAUAGAAGAAUGGCUCCUUGCGAAAUAUCUGCAGAUAAAUAGCAAAGAAAUGCCACAAAUGUUAUCAGGAAUUGAUGAGAAAAAUAGAGCAAUCUAUCCAAGUAAAAGAUCAUAGGUAACUUGGAUAAAAUUGAAAGCCAUCUUUUCAUGGAAAAACAAAAAAAAAAAGAGAAAAAAAAAAGAAGCAUCACUCAGAAAAAAAAAAAAGAAAAAACAAGGAAGCCAACCAUUCCAGCAAACAUGCAACCAAGACUCCACAUGUCCAAAGAGUAGUCAUAAUCUUGCAAGUCAACAAGGAGUUCAGGCCCCUUGAAGUAUCUGGAUAAGCAAAAAGACUUAUUAGUCGACAUAAACAAGUUGUACGUGAAAGCUAGUUGUGUCAACUACUGGAAUUGGUUAUGGACUAGUUUUCUCAUCAAUAAGGUGCUUUUGCCACACACACGUGGAGUUUGUAAUUUUACAUUAAGCACUACAUGUAAAACUUCUUGCAGAUUGAGUAUUGAAUCUAAACACCGCCAGGCAAUCAUGAACUGGACAAGAAUGAGGACAUAAGGCAAAUCUAUAAAAACUGAAACUUGCCUUGAAGCUACUCUAACAUUGUACUCUUUGCCUGGAUGGUAGAACUCAGCAAGUCCCCAAUCUAUUAAGCGAAGCUUGCGGAGUUCAUGAUCAAUCAUAACAUUAUGAGGCUUGACAUCUCGGUGCAUAAUUCCUUGGGAAUGGCAGUAAUCUAGUGCCUGCAAUUAUGACAAGUUAGUGAUACAGUAAGAAACCAGCAUAUAAACAAUUCAAACUGACUAUGUGAAAAGUUCAGCAAAAGAUAGUAUGUCAAGACAUGCUUUUAGUAAUAUUUCAUAAGAACUGAAAACAAUGAAGAAGGAUGAUCAAACACAAAUUUAUGUCCAGCAGAUAAUUAACAAUAAGUAAAAGAAGCUAAAUAUACGUCCAGCAGAUUAAUAUAGAAAGAUACUAAUACUAUUGUCAUCCAUCAGCAACUUUCACACUCAAAUGGUAAAUAUCUGCUGGAUAUAUAAGAAAUUCAAACUUCCAUCCAGAAGAAAUCUAUCCUUUACACUUGACACUAAAUAAACAUCCAGGAGAUAAUUAAAAGAUUUUAUUGUUACUCUGGGUAGUAAUUGAUAAACAAUAUCAAUCAACGGUAUUUUCAUUUCAAGUAGACAAUAUAUAGAAAGACAUUGACAAACACGAGUGCUGUUUAUUCAGGACAUUCCUAAGCAACAUAUGCAACGGAGAGUAAAAGAAGAAAUUAAACGAAAGAAAAGCAUAAGUACCUUGAGAAGUUCAUACAUGUAGUAGCGUAUAUCAUAAUCUGUCAGUGUUGGGUACAAAACUUUGAAAUCUGUGCUGUUCACGUACUCAAAUAUCAAGCUAGGUGUUUUUGAAUUCUGAUCUCUAACAAUAUCAAAAAGCUUCACAAUAUUUGGACCACCACAAAGGUUCUGAAGUAUUUUUAUCUCCCUCUUUAUCUGCAAAAUGGGGCGACAGAUAAUUAUUCUUGUUAGGACACCAAAAGAUAAAUUUAGAGAAGAACUUCGAAUAAUUCUUGUUAGGGCAGCAGCAGAUAAUAGUUAUUGUUAUCUGUUCAAUUACCCUCGUAAAAUAUUCAUACCCGUGCACCUCUUCUCUAUACUCAAUUUUUUUUUAAAAAAACCACUCUAUCUUUGCAAAAAUUAUGACACAACAUAAAAACACAAAAGAAAAAAGAUUAUUAGGAGAUUCCAAUUUUCAUGUAAGAAAACACAACAUAUUUAUAAUACCUUUUUCUUCUUAACAGGCUUCAGGAUUUUGAUGAUGCAACGUUCCUUAUUUGUUAUAUUUAUGCCUUCAAAGACUUCGCUGUAUUUUCCUCUGCCCACUUUCCGUACAACCUCAUAAUCAUCCUGAUCACUGAGAAAAGAUUUAUAGUAAAUAGUUUGAACUUAUUAGUCUCGGACCUACAUAAAAACUUAAUUAAUUUAAACUACCAAUGCUUAGCAAUUUGCUAGGAAACGAGUACAUCGGGUGUAAGCAUACAAGUUGCCACAGAAAGUUGGCGAAAGUAGCUAGUUAAUUGAAAAAAAAAAAGCAUUUUUCACAAAACGCAGCAUGAUUUGAUGAAAAUCCAGCUACCUACCUUCCGUCCAAAAAACAACAAGGAAAUCUCUUAACAUACAAUAUCGUGCCGCACUAAUUUAACUUCAUCAAACAAUGGUAGACACAUACUAAACCAUUAAGCAAUAUUUACAGGGACUAAAAAAGAAAAAACAAGGAAAUAGUAUAAUAUGCAAUUUAAGAUUGAAGUUAAUCCCCCAACAAUCUGGUUGAAGUUAGUUCAAACCAGCUUCAGCAUCUUCGAGCUACAAACACCGAGCUUCCAAGCUAAAACAAAAGAUUAAGAAUAAAAAAACAAGCCGAUGAACAGGAAAAAAUUUGUUUUAAGCGCCAUAAUCUGUGAUCGCAGUUUCUUGGUCCACAACAAUCCCCAACUAUGUUCGAAACUCGUCUUAUCAACUAUUCUCCUCUUAAAUGGUAAUCAACCUAGGGUUUAGAAAUCCGAGUAGUUUCAUGAUCUUUUUCCCUCCACAUAAUUUCUUCUUAACACCUCCAAUACAGCUUCUCCGUAUCCUCACGACUAAACAAAUUCCUUUCCUCUUAAAUCGGCACUCACCGUUCCACAUCAACACAUACAAGGAAGAUUCAAACUUAAAAAUUAAAAAAAAAACUCAAAAAAAAGGUAAGAAAACGCAGUAACAAAAGAGAUGCCGAACUCGGAUCAGAGAUACAGUUACAUCUAGGGCUAGGUUCCAAAAUCGAAAGCUGUUACCCCCAUUGGACGGUGAGGGACUCGUAGUCCCAGUACUCCUUGGAUCUCUGCACGUUAACGUCCGCGUAAACCCUAGCCUUCGACAUGGCGGCGCCGCUCCCAGAUCUCGCCGCCGCUGCGGGAACUUCGGAUAGAGGGAGGAUUCUUCCGAUUGAAGAGAGUAUUGGAUCGGAUUAUGGCGAUGGCUACGGAGAAUCGUAGAGGAGGCGGAGAGUGGGAAAGGGUAGAUGUAGAGGACGAACGAGAGACGAAGAGCGAUCGCGAGGGCGAGGAUAGGAUAGAGAGAGAGAGAGAGAGAGAGAGAGAGAGAGAGAAAUGGGCUGAGUUGGCCCACGGAUUAGAUUACAAUGGGCCGAUUGUAUUAAUGCACUUGGUGCACCGAAUCCACGUACGUGGUCAUCUCAUCUCGAAUGCCUUUUAAAUUUGCACUUUAAUCCCCACGAAAUAAUCCUUUCUUAGUCAACUGCCUAUAUUUGUAGCAAUAUAGAACUUCUUUUGCUGUUACGUAUGCCAACUGUAAAGAAUUAUUUUUUAGCAGUUGAUUAUUAAAAUUUAAUGUCAUACUUAGAAAUUUUUUUGUAUAAAAAGUUCAUCUACGUAUAUCCUGUGAGCAUUCCGUAUUGUUUCUUAUCAUGUAGCUUUUUGUAAUCGCUUUAAAUUGAUAAUAUGUAAAAUCAGAUAGUUAACUGCAAAAAAUUUAAAAUUUGGAUGCGCAUAAUAAAAUGUUUAAAGUUUAGAGGACUAUUUAUAAGUACACGAAAAGCUCAGAUGAUUAACGUCUUACAUAUUAUUGACACUCAUUUAAUACUAAUAAAUAAAAUAUAUAAAAUAAAGUUGGAAUAAAAAUAUAUUGAAAAAAAAUAUCAUAAUCAAAAUCGUAUUUUCUCCUCAUAUGUAAUAUGCUCUCUCCAUAAUCUCAAAUAGAACACAAGAUUCAUCCAGCGCAAUAGAUAUUAUUUGAUUUCUCUACCCCCCUCCCUUCACCCACAGAAAAAAGGUACACACCCAGGAAAGAAUAAAUGGUGUAAAGUAUAAGAAAAGGUCAUAGAAAUCAAAUUGUCCAUGCCAUCUAAUAAAGUCUUAUCGCAUUCAUCAAGCAGGCUGUAUAGAUAGAAUGCAGAAAGAAUAGAGGCUAAAAGCACACACAUUCUCAUGAUAGAAUCCCUAAUUAAUUCAUUCAAGGAAAAGGAUAACUUUACACAGAAAAACAAAAAAUCCAUAGUCAUGCAAGAAAUACAAUAGCACUUAGAAAUACUAUAUGCUCGCCAACAUCAUCUAAAACAUCACCCAACACAUUAUGCAUGAAUAUGCAAGAUCUACAAAAUAAAUGUCCUCUAUCAAAAACUCCUCUUUUUUUCUUUUCUUUUCUUUUUUUUUUUUUAUUUUAUCCCAAUGGACCACAUAAUAACACCUUGGAUUUAUGCUCUUGAACAUGAUAAUACCAUUAUCGUAAUGCAUUUGAAGGUUGAGUUUUUUGCGACCCUUGAGCUUUCGUUGGCUGCACAAAUAAUCAAGUUUCUUCAAACUAUCCUGAUUCUUGCGGCCCUUGAGCAUUUGUUGGCUGCACAAAUAAUCAAGUUUCUUCAAACUAUUCUGCAGAGGAAUCUCCAGGCAUUCUCUCGUACAACCGGUAGAUCAAAGGUGACUUCGACAUCUGGGGCUCCCUCUCGAGGACUGAGAUCAUGUCCUUGAUUGAAAUGCUGCGCGGCACUUUUAAUUGAGGUGAUUGAAAUGAGCUCCUUCCCAUCCUUCUUACGCCACCUAACACAGAAAAGUUCGAACCACACUUUUGUCACUACAUUAUAAUUAGGUGGAAAAUAAUCUACUUGAAUUGCCUGGGAGAAUUUUGCCAAUCUUCUUUUUAUAGAGAAAAAUGGCAUCCGGCACUUCUUGGUUGCAGAAACUCUAGAAUGAAUUUUGGCAGCUAGGUGUCUCAGAAGGCUUUAAUUCAUCAAGAUAUUUACAUUUAUACCCUGCAAACUAUUUUGUACUAGUCCUCACAAAAUCUAAACUAUUGUAUAUGCCCUUCAAAAACUCAAUAGCUAAAUAUAUAUAUACCCUGUACUAACAAAAAUGCCCCUAGUUAAAAUAUCUUUUUCCAGUAUAAAACCAACUUUUCAAACAAAUUAAAUGAUUCCACAGCUCGAGGGUUUUUUUUUCUUAAAAAAAAUCUGCAUUUUCAAGGGAAAUAUAUGAAAAUUUAGAUAUAUAAGUCAAAAGAUGAUUUUGCAGGGUAAUAUAUGUAAAAGCCCUUAAAUUGAAUAUGACAUGAAAGACAGUAGUGCCUACCAGAUCCAGGAACUGCAGAGAGGUUUUUCUUUUCUGCUUCCUCGCUUUCUCUUGAACUUCUUCCUAAAUUUGACGACGGCUUUCGAAGUCCUGUUUUGGAAGCAGAAGCGCUAUCGAGCCCUUCGCGCUUCUGUCUAGCUUGUUCCGCCAUAAGCUGCCACUUGGACAGCAUAUCAUCCCCACCCACAGCAGCUCGGGCCGCAACAUUCGCAGCCGUUGUUCUCAUUUUAUCAUCCUCUUCCUUAUUAACCUGCACAAAUUGUGAAAGUGGCCAACAAAAACACAAACAAGUAGAAGGGUUUCUUUAAAAAGAGCUACCUUAACAUUCUUAGAGCGGUUUUCAUCCUUGUCUUUCUCUGGAUUUGCACCUGAAUUGCUCUCCGUCUGCAUGCAGAAGCAGUAAAGCACGUAGUCAUGAAGUUUGCGGAAAUAGAAUUUGUUUAACAACCAUGUUUUGUAUUCCAGGAAGCAGCGUCCCAAGUACUUUCUACAAUGCAUAAUAAUCUUAAAGAGAUAUAUAGUUGUGAAGCAAUUGGAGAUGAGAGUCUGUUUACAAAGGUAUUAACUAUUAACUAGAUGGUCUUCUUCUUUAUGUGGGUUCAACAACCAUGUUUUGUAUUCCAGGAAGCAGCGUCCCAAGUACUUUCUACAUCGCAUAAUCUUAAAAAGAUGUCUAGUUGUAAAGCAAUUGGAGAUAAGAGUUUGUGUUAGGAUAUAUUUAGCAUGUAUAUAUAUUAUAUUACAUAUAUAACGAGACAUAUGUGGUAUAUUCUAUAUAGAGUAUAAGGUUAUAUGGUAAUGAAGAUUGCCAUGUAUACACCUCUUGUAAUUAUAUAUUCACAUCAAUGAAAUCCAAAAGAGUCAAGCUCUUUAGCCUAUCUUUCACGGUAUCAAGUAUAUUCUAUAUAGAGUAUAAGGUUAUAUGGUAAUGAAGGUUGCCAUGUAUACACCUCUUGUAAUUAUAUAUUCACAUCAAUGAAAUCCAAAAGGGUCAAGCUCUUUAGCUUAUCUUUCAGUCUGUUUACAAAGGUAUUAACUGUUAACUAGGUGUUCUUCUUCUUUAUGUGGGUUGUCAGUUCAUAAUUUGUGUUGUCAAAUUUAUAUCAAACAAAUAUUAAAGUGCCCAUCGGCACGGGUCGUAUCCACCGUGCCGUAUCGUGCCAGUAAGAUAUCGGCACGAUAUAGCCUCCGUGCCAAUGACACAACUCAAAACCCUCUAUUCUUUAAAUUAGUAGAUAAUUUUCUCAAAAAAGUUCAAAAGAUUUGAUAAAAAUACAUAAUAAAUAAUUAACAUAUUUUGUUGCUAAAAAAAUAAACAUUUCAUGCUAUUACGUGUCGGCGCACAUAUAUUUUUUUGACCGGCACGUAUCGGCACGACCCGACAUGCACCGUGCCAUACCGUGCCGGCAAGUUCCCGGCACGACCCGGUGCCGGCAAGUUCCCGGCACGACCCCGUGCUACGACACUUUAAUCCUUGAUAUUAAAGCAUGGUACGACCAAGGGUGGUUUUGGAUAUUAUAGCUGGAUUAAAGCUGGUAUUUUUGUUACUAGAUUAUCUUACAUCAUCUAAUCCUACCCAGAGUGUUGGACUAAGGGUGUGUUUGGAUCCCUGUAAAACCCCUCCGAUCCUUGUUUGGUUGUUCGUAAAAUUCUUUUCGGAAAAGUUAUUUUACAGAUUUCUCAGAAAAAAUCGAGUUUUCGUUUUCCGCGUGCCGUCCGCGGAAAACGAAAAGCAAGAUGGAAAUGGCGCGGUGUUUGGCACGGAGGGAAGCAGCGGGAUAGCGCGGUCCAUGAGGCNUAUUCAAAAUCCUCUUUUAUCAACACCUACUUCCUCUCCCUUCAUCACUUUUCUCUCUUUUAAUCAAAAUCAUCUCUCACAAAUUUUAAAUUUUCAUUCCGAUUUCCAUUCCAACAAUGAACCAAACAUUUUUGGAUGAUUCGUUAUUCCAUUUUCCAUUCCUAUUCCAAUCAUGAACCAAACAUGCCCUUAAAUAUAUUUAAUCUAUAUAUAAAAAUUAUAAUAAUAAUAUAUAUAGUAUAUUAAUUAUUAUAUAAUAAUAAUAAUAUAUAUAAUAAAAAAUAUAUUAAAUAGGUUUCCAUUUAUUUUUCUUUUCUUUUCAACCAAACAACCGUCAUAGAAAACUAUCUUUCUUUUCCUACAAACCAAACACUAAACUAUGUAAAACUUUUUUUCCACCGAAAAUUUUUUUUCCCAGUUUUACAUCAAACCAAACAGCCCCUAACCUUUUCUUGGCACCUGGUUUUGUCAGGUAUUUUCCAAAUAAAUGAGGCUAUAACAGCUUUAAAUGUCUCAAUGUAAGAUGCAAUUGAGCGGACAAGAACAUGCUCAAUAAAGUAGUAGAUCUAAGCAGAUGUUAUGAAUCUAUGUAGCUCCUCAGUGUUGUAGUUUUCUAAAACAGCUCCCCCCCCUAUAGAAGAGCUAUUUGAGCAUAACUCUUCAAAAACUACUAACAGCUUUUUGUUACAAUCCACGCAACAUGUUCUCGCCGCAGCAGAAGAAAAAGAUUCAAAUUGGAGCUUGCUUUCGGGCCUGGAAGUUCAUUUCAGAUUCUAAAAACAGAAGCAGCUUCAGAAAUAUUUUUUGCAGAUGCCUGGUUGCUGCUUUUCAAAGUAGAGAAGCUAUCCUAUAAUUCAGGACUUUUUUUUUGUUUAUUUCAACCCAUUUAGCUUAAAGACCAUCGUUGUAUAACUUGAAGUUAAUCUAUUUUUGUAUAAUUUGAAGUUAAGCUUUCUCAUGAUAUUACCCACCAUCUUAAUUUUCCAACUUGUUAAAUACAUAAUCUUCAGUUUCCAAAUUGUGUGGUGCUGAAUUCCGAGAGCAAUUAAGUAAGAAACCAAACAUAAUCACAAGCCAACAAAUCGAACAAGCAUACAUGUACAAUUAAGAAAAUCAAGUACUAAUAAAGCAGGCUGCAAUUAGCAGUAUAAAAUUAUGCCAGUGAUAGACCAAUUAAACUAAUUAAACCUCCAUCAGCUAACUAACCUCAUUCUGUUUCCUGAUCUUUUCAGCUUCUUCUGAUUGCUUCUUAUCCCACUCUUCCUUAGCUUUCCGGUUAAUCAGCGAAAUUUGACGACGAACGUCUGAAGUGACGACAAACCGAUGACCAGUUUUUUCAAUAUCAACCCUCUAUGGACAAUAGAAGCAAACAGUCGGUAGAAGAUUAGUCGAUCAAAAAUGGCUUAGCGGUCAAAUUAAAUUAGAAUUUAGUGACCUGUUUUGACACUCUUAUUAGCUGAGUAAUCAAUCCCCGUAACCGCUCCUCCACACACUGAAAAAUUGCUUGAGUUACAUUAAAUGAUAAGAUGACUCAAAGAAAGGAUUCUUUCGCUAAAUAUUAUCUCACCAUCGAUAGACAGCGCUCCACAUCACUGCCAACACUCUUCAAGUUACAUUUUGACACUGCCACAAAUACCAACUAUCAAUAAACACACUGAAGUAUGAAUAUUCAAAUAGAAGCUGAACAAUAAUUUUGUAUUAUAAAAGAGAAAAAUGGGCAUGGCUUAAGUUCAAAAGACUAACUGAUUUCUGCUAGUUUCUUCUGAAGAGGGCCUUUCUGCAAAAUUAACCUUUCUUCUUCUUCUUGCACGACUCUUCGAGUCGCUUCUGAUGCACGGUUAUCUUCCUUUGGGGCCGAUAGCAGCUGUUCUUCUUCUUCCUAUCAAACAUCAAAUCAAGAAUUAGAGUUCAAGCAGUUGAAUCAUCAAACAAACAUGCUAGACUCAAGAGUUAUCUAGACUUGCAACCCUGGGAAGUUUUCUAUUUACAUAAAUAUAUUUGAAAAGAACCCUGCUGUUCAUAACGCAAAACUUUUUCCAAAACCAAAUCAAUUUCCCCCCAUGAAUUGGAUGGCUCCCUGACUUCACAAUAAGGGUAUUUUUGCAACAAUCUGCACUUUCAGGGGGUAAUACAAAAAUUUGUAAUUUACAGGGAUACUUUUGUAAAUAGAUAAUUUUGCAGAGAUAUAUAUGUGUAACAUCCCCUCCCCGCUCCUCCCACCCAACCAAACAAAAAAAAAAAAAGAGAGAGAGAACAAGAGACAUACCUUCAGAUUAACACCACUAACGGCUGUGACAUCAUUUAGUUGCUCGAUACUUUGAUCAAGAAAAGCCCCAGAUGUCUUCUGUUUUUUGCUAAUGGUAGAAACACAAAGAUCCAUUAAGUAAUUAAGAGAAAUCAAAAAAGGACUUAUAUCUAUGGAUGAAUUUAGCUUUCAGCAGACAAAGGGCUAUGAGUUUUAACCUUGAUGGAGGUGGGGAAGUGCCCAGUGCUUCUAAGGGUUUUUUCUGACCAAUUGAUGUUUUCUUUUGGGGAGUCUUUGAGUUAACUCCGGCAAGUGAUGUUGGCAUUGCAGAUGAUGUUUGAGGGUGCAUCUGAUUCUUCAUAGAGGAUAUAGUUUAUAAGAUAGCAAAUAGAAGUUACAUGUAAUUAAGGAUAUAGGAAAAGUAGUUUGUCAUUAAGAUAAUAAAUGACCAAAACGUACACAUAUAUGUAUACAAACAUAAUGCGGGGCAUAACCUGAAAUUCUCUCUAGAUAGCAUAUUGGUGUUAUACUAGCAUAUUGUUUUCUACACAGUUACACUAUGUUCCCACUUCUCUGAUGAAGUUAUUUAACAAUACUCAUUCUCCUAAUUGGUAGGGCAUAGAAAAGAAGCAGUAAAUAGGAGGGAAAAAAAAAAGAUGACAAAUGCAAACCUGCAUAUUCUGCUCCACCUGAGUGGCUAGUGGACCUGAAAUCUGACUGGUGCCCAUCUCCGGACCCACCAAUUGCAAGUCAUUUGCUGAUUCACUAGGCUGAUCAACUUCUUUCUUAGCCUCAAGUGGAAAAGGACUAGCUUUCUGGUCCUUGUUUGAUGACAAUUGCCACAUGGCUGGAUUAUUAUGCUGCAAUCCCGGAUGAGUAAUUUGGGUAUGUACUCUCUUGUUUUCGUUAGCAGCAUCGUACUUGGGCAUAUUCAUAGCAUUCCUCGGCUGAACUCCUCCAAUUUGUGUAUGAGGUGGAUUUAUUGAAGCACCGACUGGCCUCGGAUAGUUAUGGGCGUGAAAAUUACCCCUUCCAUACAUUGGGAAAGAUGUAUGCGGAAGCUGUGUGUGCUGCUGCUGCUGCUGCUGCUGCAGCUGCAGCUGCUGCGGCUGCUUAUUAACUGUUUGCAUUGGGAUUGUUGACAUCUCUCUUGGUGCAUUACCAACAUUGAUAUUGGUGGGCAAACUUUGUGCCUUAUUCUCCUUUUGACUAGUUGGUAAAUUAGAUGUAUCUGUUUGCAUUUGAAUUUGUCGAUUUGUCUGGGAACUACGUGCUGCCUGAGCCUCCAUCUUCCCAACAGUCCAAAAAGAAUUAUAUAAAGAUAAUAAGUUUAUUGAAACAGUGAUGUUUGGUGACAUAGUGAAUAAUGCAUUAAAAGUUAUACCAAUUACAGGCCACAUCUAAACCAAGAAAAAAAAAAGAGAAUAAAUGGCCAUGACAAUCAACUUGCUACAAGAUGUGAUAUCCACUCACCUGCAUUUGAACUUUGUUAACUGCCUGUCUGAGCAUUUGGUCACCAACGAUAUUCCUUGUUACUCUUAAAAAGUCUGCUUUAGUGACUUCGUUAUUCUACAGAAAUAAAGAAAAACAUUAACUCAUCAGAAGCUGUACAAUUUUCUUCCAAUAUGACAAAACUCUGAUAUUCUAUAAAUUUGGAAUUAACAGUAGUAGGCGAAAACUCUUUGUACUAAUGAGAUUUAAUCAAGCCAUAAACUAGUAUUACAUAUAGAUUCUAAAAUUUGAUAAUUUCAUUCUAGAGGGAAGUAGUGCAGUACGAAUAUGAAAGAUGGUUUAGAUUAGACGAGGAGACAUUAAAUGUCUCUGUCGUGUGUUGUUUUCCAAGAAAAUAUGGUAUUUUUUUCUCACACAGGAUCUCAAUCAACUCAAAUAGGUAUAAUAAAAGGUAAAAUCUAAAACCAGAGAAGGGCUCUCCAAAAUUUUUUUUUUUAAAAAAGUAGAUAAAUCUCUCAAGAAAUAACAAUAACAAAAGGAAAAAAGUAGAAUGGAUGCAGGAGAAAGAAAAGUUAAAAAUAGAUAUAUAAAAAGAAAUAAAAUAUAGAUGGAAACCCUAAAACAAAAGAGGAAGAAGUCGUAGAAACCCUAGGGACCUUGGGACUUAAUACUCAACCGUACAAAGCUGCUUUUAUCUCUCAGUAUUUCUGAGGAAAGAGAAGCGGGUUGGAAUAUUAUAACAGUUGUACAGUUGAGGGUCCUUCCCUAACAGAAUUAGGAAACACGGGAGAAUCUAGUAAGGAAAAUAGAUCGGUACAAUCUGUUAAGGUUUCUUUUUUUGAAAAAAAACCUCUAAUUUACUUCAUCUGGGAUUUAAAUCAUAAAAUUGCAGAUUUUAAAGAUAAUAAAGUGGUAGCAACAACAAAUUAUAAAUAAAUAGCGGAUAAAAGGUUUAAACAUAAAUCCUAAUUAGAUUGGAAUUGAGAUAAAGACCAAUAAAUUAAAUUUUAGAAAAUCCAAUAUUGCAGAGAAUAAUUCAAAUCAGUGAUACAUUGAUUUGAACAUCAAGAACCAAUUUUUGAUUGAUCGGAUUCCUAACAGAAAAGUAACAAGAAAAAAAAAGAAAAAAAUCCAGCCACAGCACCAAACUGACACACUAGACUAAACCAAAAGAAACCACUUAUUGAACCCUAAACAAUAAAUGAGCACAAACCAAACCACGAGAAACAAAAUAAAUUGUGAAAAGAUAAAACCAAAGUAAAUGUCUGCAGUAAACAGUAAACUGUUAAACAUAAAAAAGAGAAUACGUGUUAAUAUUCUCACCCUUAGUCUCAUAAAAGCGGCCAUAAGCUGCAUCUGUCUAUCUUUGUCAAGUUGAGGGCGCAAGACUGGAAUUAACAAGUGAAAUGAUAUGGAAGGCAUAACCUUAUUCCUCACAGCAUUGUUUGCUUGGUUAACAGCUGGUGCUUGUUGAUUGUUAAGCCGCUGCAUAAGCUGCUGUGGGUUCUCCGAAGGAUGGGUAAACUCCUGUUUUGGGACGACGGUUUUCUGUUCAGGAAAAUUGGGCUGUUCUUUCUUAAUAAAUUGAGAAGAACUCUUUUCUGAUUGGUCACUAAUAAGUUGGCUUUGGUCUUUGGCAUCUUCUGGAAAAUGAUCUAUUCGAGACGAGUGCUUCUCUAGUGAAUGGAGAUGUUGUUGUUCUUCAUUUGGUUGGAUUUGCUGACUAUGAUUUUCCUUCUCCCCAGAAUUUUGCCACUGUCCCAGAACUUGUUGUGAUGCAGAGCUGUUCGCUUGGAACAAAGUGCCUGAUGAACCAACAUAUCACCAAUUGUCCAUAAAUUAAAGAGUAACUACGCUAAUAUAAAAACUUGAAAGUAUCUCAAAUCCAACCGUCUGUCUGCUUGACCUCAUUAUAAAACAACUCAUCCACAUAUUUUAUAUUAUCCAUUGUUAACGUUUAAAAAGUUAAAUUGCAACUGUUACCUGUUAUUUAAACAUAAUACGAGCAAGCUGGAUCACAUCAUGGUAGAGAAUCAACGAAGGUCAAAUUAAGUUCUUAUAAGUCAAAGCAACUGGGAAACAUAUACUGGUGUCAUUCUUUAACGCCUUGCAAAAGUAAUCUGAAAUUUUGCCCGAAAGCAAGUUCUUCUGUAGCAUUAGAUUAAAGCUUAACUAUUGGUCUGUUUUAUAGCAGAACUCCAAAAGUUAUUUUACAAACAAUAUUUUCACCCUAACCACCCCAUGCCCGAUGCAGAUAGGCAAUCUGUAAACAGUAUUCUUGAAACAAUAGCUGACUACCUUCGUCCAACUAAUAGCAUCAUCAAAAAAGAUCACAAAAAUGUUCAUGACAAAAUCCAUACAAUAUACUAUCAACAGUUAAAGUCCACAUGCACUUAUCGUAGUUCUAUCGCUACUGAGUAUGAGAUAUUUGUUAUGAACAAGACAAUUUUAUUGUUUCGAGAAAUUCCCGGAGCCUUUUUGUGCCCCAUGUUUUGGGGUGAGAUGACCCCAAAAUACUUUGAGCCUUAAAGGCAUGUAACAAAAGACACAGGAAUGUAUUGAAUCAAGAAAUGCAUCAUGCAGACAUUUCAUUACUCAUAAUAGUCCGCAAAUGAAAAAAAUAUCCAUUAGCUUUCACUGAAAACGAUGUAUGCCUUUCACAUAGGUCCUUUGAUUUCACCUCGUACAAAGAGAUGAAGAAUCUGAAACUCUCUCUAUAUUAUCUGAUCCGGUAACCUAUGUUGCUUUGCAUAGUAUCCACAAUUAAGGGUGUGGAUUUACAAGCCAUAUCUUGGCAAACAUUUUCAUGGCUGUAAUUUACCUUUUUUAACCAAAAACAUCUUCUUUUUUUCCCCCUAAAUUUAUAUGUUUGCAUUUAAGCCCAUCAGCACUAACUGGUACCAGCUAUAAUUAAGAUCAGCAAAAUUUCUUCAACCAUUAUCCUCUCCACUAAGUUUCUUCUAUAAUUCUCCACAAUUUCCAAGGAUAAGCUAAUACUUCACUCCAAAAUAUGUGCUUAAUCAUAAAGGAAAAGCAGAAAUUUUCUUUCCCCUAGAAAAAUACUGCAAAUUUUUCUCCGAAUCCACAAACACCAUAUGAAAAAAGGAACAACCAGCGAAUCAAGAACUAUGCAAAAUGAAAGAGAACAUUAACACGAUCUCAAUCUAAUUGCAGUAUAGCGAUCAAUUGGCCCUAAUUGGCUCUAAAGUUUCACCGAGCUCACGAAGUCACAAAUCAAAUGAUCAACAAUUACCGGCCUCCGCAUCGGGCGGCUGCGGCACGGCGGAGGCGUCCCCGCCGAUGUCGCGAUUGAGCGCGGCGGUGAAAGCCUCCACAUCCGCCCCCGAAUGCAUGCUCUCGUCCUAUACACACACAUCAAACAGUUUUAGGGCAAAAUCAAAAGUUUUUCACGGAGCCCCGCAUUACUGGGCAAAAGCUAGCUCCAGGGAGAGUUAAAUUGAGAAAAAGAGGACGAAGAAGAAGAAGCAGAAGAAGAUGAGAACCUCGUCGUCUUCGAGUAGCUUCAUGAUGGAUGGAUCCAUGGAGGUGUUGAAGAGGACGGAGAAGAGGAGAGGAGUGAGAACGAAUAGUUAGAGAAAAAGAGGUUUCGAUUUAGAGAGAAAAAUAAUUAAAUGAAAAUCGUUGGUUUAUAGUAAGGAUCGAAGGGAAUGGGGGAGUUCGGGAACUUCGCAUGGUUUCCGAUGAUCGCGCCUCGCCCUUUUAAUUUUCUUCUAAUUUAAUUUAAUUUUCCUUUUUUUUGGCACUUUUGUAGAAAAAUACAUGGAUGUUUAUGUAUUUUUAACUUAGUUCACUUUUUGGUUUUGCAACUUGCCACUAAAUUAUUCUUAAAAUCUCCAAAUUGCCCUUGGGCCCCUUUUGUUCAAACCAAAUUAUCCAUAACUCAAUUGGGCUCAGUUUGAUUAAAUUUUAUAAAAUUUAAAAUCGAAAAUCCAAAUAAAUCUAAUCAACUGAAUAUUUAGCAGUUGAAUACAAAUCUUUUAGAUAUGAUCGAAUAAUUGGAUAUUUAAUUUAAUUAUUACUGAAGAAAUUAGAUUAAAAAUUUUUAGAUAAAAUAAAUCAUAUCUUCUUUAAAACUUUUUUUUUUUUGUAGAAUAUACACUAGUUUUGAAAAAGAAAAAUCUAAUAUAAAUAGAUAUUCAAUAAAUAAUCCUAAUUUAAUAAUCUAAUAAAAAUAAAGUUACAAGAUUGAUUCUAUUACAUCACUUGGCUCAAGGGAUUGUUAUAUGUUAGUUUAUUGUAUAUAUUUGAUUUGAUGAGUUAAUCGUGCCUUUUACGGUGAUGCCUAGCUGUAAUAAAAUCAUAAUUGGGGGUGUUUUACGAAAAAGUACAAUCCCUCGCUCAAAAUUAGGGUUUUGGCCGCCACAAUAAAAACCUCUUCCUCUCUCCACGCCGCACACCGCCACAUCCUCCACGAGCUUGAGACUAUUAGGGUUUCUUCUGCGAUCUAGCGAAGGAACAAGCGAGGGAGAAAGAGAUGGGGCACUCGAACGUGUGGAAUUCGCAUCCCAAGAACUACGGUCCCGGAUCUCGUGUUUGGUAAUGGAUUCUCACCUUUCACGUCUCUUUUUUCGGUUACUACGAAUCCAUCAAACUCUAGUUUUCGCUGUUGUUUUCUUUUCCAACGUUUGAUUUUGAUUUCUUAAUUAGUGAGAUUCGUUUAGAACAUGGUCAAAAUCGCCUAAUAGAUUAUAAAAAUGUGACGUUCUUUGAGUUGUUUGUUCUUGGAAGGGUCGGUAUGCUCUACAGUUGAUGCCUUUAUCUUUGCUUUUAAGAAUUUGAUAUAUUUAGAGAAGUAUUAUUAAUACGUUAGGCUUUGGAUUAGGUGUUUAGCAAUGCUAAAACUAGAGGAUGUUCCAGGGAAAAUUUUGGAUUUUUGUGUGUAUGCCAAAUGAGUGAUUCUAUUUAUGUUUUCAGUAGAAUAAUUUUGUGAUGUCCUUGAUAAUUCUGUAGGAAGUAGAAACUCUUAAUGUCGAAUGAAUAUGAAUUUGCUUUGAUCAAUUCUUUUGGCAAUCUCUUAUCAAAUUUGAUCUUAGUCUUGUUGUUUACAUUUGGUAGUCGGGUUUGCGGGAACCCUCAUGGACUCAUCCGGAAGUAUGGACUCAUGUGCUGCAGGCAGUGCUUCCACAGCAAUGCUAAGGACAUCGGAUUCAUUAAGGUGAAUACACUUUAUAUUUUCAUCUGUUUAUCAUUGGCUUCUUUUCUAACGCUUGUGCUUGUGAAGUCUGUAGUAGCUACAUUUGCUUUAGUUAUAAAUUACUCUAAAUGCCUGGUUGUUUCAUUCUUCUUGAACAAUAUCUCUAUUUGAGAAGCAAAAGCUUGCCAUUUGGCAAACAAAAGGGCUAGAAUCUUUGUUGGAGCAAUAUAUAUAUAUAUAUAUAUAUAUAUAUAUAUAUAUAUAUAGAGCUAGACUGGUAUACUAUCGGUAGCACGGAGGCCUCCGUGCUACCAAGUUGUUUUCAAUGAUGCGACUUCCAAAUCAAUGAUCGGCUCCAUUAGACUUGAUUUAUACUAUUGAAAGUAUUUGGAAACUAAAUUUCAUAAUUUUUUGGCAUCAUUUACCUAUCAAACGAAUAAUCAAAAAAUGAACGGUUGAAAUUAAAAAUCUCAUAAAAAAUGAUGAUAAAAGACUUGAAUUUAAAAUCGGAGAUACUGAUCUUACUCUAAAUAGUAAAAAGAAAUUUCUAUAAAAAUUUCAUCAGAUUUGGAAUGUUUUACACCUUGAAAUUCACAAACGCAUCACAUCUACCAUUAAAAUUGUCAAUUUUGAGACCUUUUGAUCACUAGCCAAAUGAUGUUGAAAAAUUAUAAAAUUUCGUUUUCAAAUACUUUUAAUAGUGUAGAUCAAGUCUAACGGAGCCGAUCGUCGAUUUGGAAGCCGCAUCAUUGAAAACAACUUGGUAGCACGGAGGCCUCCGUGCUACUGAUAGUAUAUAUAUAUAUAAAGCUUUCACUCCCUAGAAGUAGAAGCUGUGAUUUGAAGCUCUUGCUUGCACUUCUGUGUGAAGCUGUUUGGGGGCUUAUGCAGCUGUUAAUAGCUUCCUUUAAUAAAUCUAGUAAAACGGCACUUCUAUGGCCAAACUGGCCCCAAGCCAACAAGAGUUGCUAUAAAUGCCUUGUUUUUAAAUUCUAUUAUAGUCAGAUUUGUUAGGGAUAGGCAGCGAAGAGAUAUGGUGCUGCUAAGCUACUUGUAUGUCGUUGUGUAAUUUUAUUGCACAGCAGAUUUGUUGUUCUACUGAAUUAGCUUCUGUGGUAAGGUUAACUCAGUGUGGAUUACUGAUCUUGCUGGAUUAUAACUUUAUAUGUUCUGGAUAGGUAUUAGAUCUCGGUAUGGGAUAAUUUUAUAAUACUAGUGUCCUCUUGUGCCAUGGCAUAUGAAGUCUUUUGGCACUUGUUUUUGUGUCUUUGUUAAAGCAAGAUAAUUAGGUAAGUUCUUAUUGAGUUGAAAAGAUCUCUGCCCCUUUUCAUGUUCCAUUGUCUAUUCAUCUGCAAUAGCUGUUUAUCCAUAAGCUGUUUCUACAUUGCUUAAUCGUUGAAAUCAAAAAAAAAAAUAAAUCAAAAGAUGUAGGGCAUUCGCUACGUUUUUGGGCUGUAAUGUUCUUGCUUUCCUCCCCAAAAUACUAUCUCAUGUCACAACAAUUUAGAGUUGCAUUAGCUGCUAGAGUCCCUCCACGUAGUUCUACCUUUGUAGUCAUGCAAAAGGUUGUCAGUUCUGUUUAACAUUAUGAUAAUCAUAUCUGGGUUUAUUCAAUUUUUGGUAGUUCUUGAAUAUCAGUUAAAGAUUUUCUUUUGAUUAGAAAACUUGGGUAUCCAAGUGAGUUUAUUGUGAUUUUUUUAGUCUUCAAUUUGAUUGCCAUGUUAAUUGGUUCAUGGAAGGUUUUCUUUUAGCUAGAUUUUGCACUUGGCCGUGGUUUCUCCAUUUGGGAUCAGAUAAAUGUGGGCUCUUUUGUGGAACAGUAAUAUGGUGGAUAUUGGGAUAGGGUUCAUUGUGUGUACUUCAUACACUGUAACAGUUCCUCUUUUCAUUUUACAAGGAUAAUGUUAUUUGGCAGUCAUUCUAUGUUUUAGGGGUAGAUAUACACGUCUUUAGAAAGCACUAUAUGUUCAGAACUCUUCUUUCUUUCUUUUUUUUCCUCCCAUAUAAUCCACUUGUAUCAACCCUGCUUUUUUUGUCACGACAUCUCACUAUUUCUGAUGUAAGCCCUGUCAUUGAGACUCUUGCAUAGAAAUUUUUUAAAAAAAUUGUAGGAGCAAAAAAAAAAUAAAGAACUAUUUCUCAAUUCGUUGGAAGUGAAACUAAAAAAAAUUAGUUGACAUUGUAAUUUAAUGAAUCAUAUAAGCCGUAUUUAUCUCUAGAAAUGCAAGGCAUCAGUUCUUUCCUGAAUCUUGAUUCAUACACUAUUAAAUUUCGAUUCAUUUCGAGCCAUAUUAGUUUUUCUUUCUUCUGGGCAGAUGUGUAUGAACUAGAGGGAUGUUCUUGCUUCCUCUAUAGAUACCUACCAUGACAUCAUGCAAUGCUUAACAGGAAAUGGUCAAUUAGAGUAGAAGUGUUGUAAAUAAGAAGCAUUUAGCUGAAAUUUUAUUUGAAGUCAAGAACUUGAUGAAAACUUAAAAAGCUUACAGCCUUACAUUCUCUACUUAGUUGGACUGACAUUUUACUUUCACUGCUAUUGUUCAUGUUAUCAUUUCCUGCAAUACUUCUUGUGUGGGAAAAUGCACUAAUUUGAUCAGGAUAUGGCCCUUAAUUUACUUUCUUCUGUUUCUUUUUACAGUAUCGCUGAGAACUUUUCUUUUAAAGCGCGGAUCCCUUAUUGGUCAAGGAAAUGGAUCUGCCACCUAUCAGGGAACUUCAUAUUGAACUUUUUGGCAAUCUCUGUUGUUUAAUGAUUUCCUAGUUAUUUUUGGCUGGUCUCAGUUGCUUGUGCACCAUUUACUGGGAUGAUGUGGUUUUUUCUGUCUUAAUGGGAAUUUUUCCCUAGCAUUUCCAUUGUAGCACUCAAUACUUUUUUUAAGUGGAGGUAUUUGCAUUUUGCAUGUUUUUUUUUAGCAUUAUUUGAUUGCUUAUUGUAGUUUGUUUAUAUUAGGCAAAACUUACGAAAUGUCCCAUGAAAAUUGCAUUUUUAUUCCAUCGGUUAUCGAGACUUACUGAUAACACCCUUGAUUUAUAAAUGGGUAUUAUUUGACCUCUAUUGUAAAGGGUUAAAAUUUUAUGAUUUUCUAGCCAAAAAGUGUGGAGUACUGAGGUUUUCACUUGUAUCUUUUUUCAAUUUAACCCUUGAAAAAUUUAUAAUUUGCCAAAUAAUUUUAUGAAAAUUUUAUUUGGCCAAAUAAUUUUAUUUUGUCUAAUUCAAUACCAAGGUGGAAGAUUAAUUGAAAGAAGUUGAAUUGUUUACCGUAUUUAAUAAACUCACUUUAGAAGAAUGUAAUAAAUCACAUACAAUUUUAAAUUUAGAAAACCUAAACAAUUUGUUUGUAUAAUCUUAAUAGUCAAACAAAUUUUAAUAUUUAACAUACUAUCCCUUUAUUUUUGUCUAUCAUUGGCUAAAUAAAAUUAUAGAAAGAUUAUUUUGUAAAUUAAAAAUUUUUAUAGGAUUAUACCUUUUUUUAAAAAAAAAAUUCACUUCUUGUGGAGAAAGUGCAAAUCAAAAUGUAUCAGGGGUGUGAUUGUUAAUAUUAUCAAGAAGCUUGUGUAUUUUUGUCAUGCAACUUUGUUUCUUACCGAGAUAAGUUCGAAUCCUAGUUAAUUCACAUUUCUAGUUAAGUUUAUUUCUAAAUGAAAUAAACGAAGCGGAUAGCGUGCUACCCAUCUCUUAAAAAAAAAAAAAAAAACUUUGUUUCUUACUGUUUUUGGCACGUUUGGAUUAUAAUAAUUUCCAAAUGGCAUCCCCUCACCUGCCUCCAGCUCCUUUCCUCCUCACCUACCUACAUGUUGUAUUUUGCAACUUUGGACCACAAUUUUUUUAUAUUCUCCAUUUGGCUCCAGUUCCCCCCACCCCUCCAUUUCCUCUUACCUUCGUGCGUCGCCACAAAGUGUGGUGUCAAAAUAUAUAUUUUAAUUAUUUUUGUAUGUGAUGAUAUUGUCCAAAUUAAAUUGAUUUGAUUGAGACAAGUUGGGCUGGAAUACCAUCGGUAGCAAAUAGGUUUCGUUGCCAGCCAUUUAUUUUCGAUGAUGGAACCUCCAAAUCGAUGAUCGGCACUGUUGAAAGUGAUCUAUACUACUUGAAAUAUGUAGAAAUUUAAUUUUAUACUUUUUCGAUAUUGUUCUCUUAUCCAUCAAGUGGAUGUAAAAAUGAACGGUUGAAAAUGAAUGUCCUAUAAAAUAUAAUGAUAGAAAUUUUGUAAUCAAGAUUGAAAGUAAAUAUCUUGUUCUAAAUAGUUUAAAGAAUUUUCUAAUUAAAAUUCAAUUAAUUUGGAUAGCUUUACACUGUUAAAUGAGAAAACGUUUCAUAUCCAUCAUUAAAAUUAUAAAUUUUAAAACCCUUUGAUCAUUAGGUCAAUGAUGUGAAAAAAAUUUGAAAUUUAGUUUUUAAAUACUCCAAGCAGUAUAGAUCAUAUUCAACGGAGCCGAUCGUCAAUUUGGGGACUCCAUCAUCGAAAAUAAAUGGGUAGCAACAGAGCCCGUUUGCUACCGACAGCAUUCCAGCUCAACUCUGAUUAAGACAUUAUUUGUAGAUAAAUAUAUCUACUUAUAGGCUUCGGCAACGAACCUUUUGAUCCGAUAAGUUUCGGCGGCCCUUAAUAUCAAACAGAUUCUAAAACUAUGCCGUUGUAUGUUACUACUUUGGCAGUGCAGUGGGGCCAUUUUGGAUUAGUUAGGGCAUGUUGGUUACACCAAAAGUGGAGGAUGAGUUUAUUUUUGACUGUAAAUGGUUUCUAUUGUUUGAUUUGUUGUAAGUUAAAUUUAUUCGUAACUCUAUUUUAAAAAAAUACUUUGUUAUAAAUUUUUAUUUUUUUAAUAUGCUGGAGUGAAAAUUUUGUAAAAAAAAUAAAAAGUGGAAUGACUAUAAUUUCGAAAUCAUUGACUUUUAUAAAAUAAAUAAUAGUGAAAGAAUAAUUUCUAUUUGAAUUCUAGUUCAACUAAAAGUUUUCAGUCUGAAAAAUAGUUAAGGACAAACAGGUAAGUAAAGGAAAAUAAGUAAAACAUCUAGUAGGGAAAGAUGUAAAAAAAUCUUGUAUUUAGAAGUGAAUUAACUUUUUCUCCUUGUUUUGGUAUUAGUGUUGGUAGUGAUAGAGAAAUAGGCUACUUUUAGUUGAACCUCAGGAUUGUUCGGAAGCAAAAAGUGGAAGAGCAAGGAAUUGUAAGUUUUGCAAACUCGAUUUCACUCUCCAUCCCACCUAAGUCAGAAAAUCCUGCGACUUCAUUAUCGAAAUAAACGCUUUAGUGGAACAAAAGCUUGGUGGGGGCAUGCUCAUCGCAGUUCAUCAUACAGUUGACACGAAUCUAAAAGUCAGACAGAUGGUGGUGUGGAUGGUAUUUACUAUAAAAUAGAUGAUUGGUUGUUUGGGAGACAGAGGAACUAUGAAUCCUUGGGUUUAUGUAAGUUUUUUAAAAAUAAUUAGUAAAUCAUGAAAAAUGCAAUGAAAGAGUUAGAAAAGAAGAAAAACAAGAAAAAUCAAAUCUAUAAAUGAACUAAUAUUUCAGUGAGAAAUUCAACAGGCUUUCAUUAGAUCUCACGCAGCAUGAAGCUUAUAUAUUACCAACUUCAGCGUGGAGCAAUUGAUUUUUGCAAAUAUUUAAAUUUUUUUUGAAAGAAAGAUAGCAAAUUAACUAUCCAUUAUGUUUUUUUUUUUAUAUAUAUAAAAUGGCUCAACUAGAAAUAUAAAGCAAUUAAGCUUCGAAUUGGAAACCUCCGGUAGUAAUUAUUAAACUCUUAGCCAAUUGUGUUAGGUACGAUCAGUAUAGCACAUCACUAGUAUUCAUACUUAAUAUACUUUUUAUGGCAUCUCACUUUAAAGAGUUGGAAACCCAAGAUAUCGACUUUCAAAUCAAACUUAUGGAUGUUAUUUUUCCAAUCUAAGUAGCACACCACACUCAUAUUUUAAUAAAAUUUUAAAUAAUAAAAAAAUUGUAGGUUCCAUUAUGUGGAACCCCCUUUAUACAAGAAAUUGAAUUUUCCAUCACAUGUGUGAUAUUUAGAUAUCUAGCUACACCACCACUAAAAAUUAAAUAAAAUAUUUUAAUAUUUUAUAUUCAACUGAAGUACCAGUAAAGAUGAAUAUGCUUCUUACAUCUUGCAUAGUAUUGUAAGAAGAGAAAUACUAAAUUUUAUAAAAUCUUUUGAAUUUUUAAUUAUUUUCUAAAAAAAUUGAUACGACAAAAAUUAAUUCCUAACCCUUCAAUACGAAGGUGCAGAGAUGUACAAAUAACAAUGCUCUUCCAAGAAAUAACCUUGAUGAGCAAUUUUUUUAAUAUAUACUCCUAAUAAAAAAAAAUUCUCCUCUCUCUCUCUCUCUCUCUCUCUCUCUCUCUCUCUCUCUCUCUCUCUCUCUCUCAUGUAUUGGAGAUUUAUAGCCUAUACGCCUUGGCAAUGAUUGGGCAGCCAUUCUAAACCAAGAAAGAUGAUCAAACAUGCUCUUUUUAUAAAUCAAAAAGUUUCUCUCCUCCUUUUUGAACAGCUCAAAACCCCAAGUACUUGUCAUUAUCCUGUUGUCCUCCUCAUCUCCUGGGUAUAUUACACUCACAUUAAAGUUCAUAACCCUACUCUUAUAUGCCACUAAACAAGUUUAUUUUUGUCCCUGAGUUCCCCAAGGGGAGAUGCAUUAUAAUUCCAUUACACAACCUUGAGAUCAAGCACAUGCAUGCACACACUCUCUUACUCUCAUGCACUGCCCCUUUGGUUGUUGUGGUGUCUUCUUUGAAGAGAACAACAAGUGCAGUGGGGAAAGAGAAUUCCUUCUUGAAAAAGCUGGAGCCCUUUAGUUUAGCUGCUUGUCCUCUAGCCCUUGUACCUUAAGCCUAAGAAUCAUAUAUUCAGUGCUGUAGCUCUCUCCUAAUUAUGGGAUUAAUAUAACCUGUCCAUGCUUAACUUACCUUCUUCUCCUUUUGUGCUUUCCACCAGAUUCUUCCAGUGCUCUUCUUGGUCUACUACCCUAGAGAAUGCAUAUAAAUAUUGUGUGUGUGUUUUGUACUAGUAGUACAGUUAGGAAGUUAGUCACCUUUUCAUGCAUAGGGCCAACUACUUAAUUUUGUAGGGAAAACUUUAAUAAUAACUAAAAAAGUAUCUUGUAGCAUAGCUUAAUUAUUUGUCAUUCAAUAUCUUCUGGUUCAAAGUAUAGCGCUUUGUCUCAUGUACAACCUAUUAUACUUUUUAGAACAGCACAUAUUGUUACAAAGAUUAAUAAAACAGUCGUGUACUUAAUACAAAUUUUUCUAACCCUUUAAUGGUUGAGUUCUUACGAAAAGCUAAAAUAAAAGCUACAAGAGUAACAAGAGAGCAUAGUGCUACACUAUUAACAGCAGAGUAGUAAACUAUAAAUACACUAUGAAAAGUGGAUGCUCACUAGCUUCCUCUUUGGCUUCAAAUAAUCCAACUACGAAACACCUAAGACAAGUAUACAAAUUAGGGAAAACUUCAAAAAGACUAAGAGGAAGUUAGUGAGCAUCUGCUUUUCUUUUAAAGUUUUGACCAAAAGGUUAGCAUGUUCACUAGCUGUUGUUCCCAUGUGAUUAGGAGCUAGUGGGAGGUGUAUUAAUGUACCACUAAUUAAACUAUCUUUUUUUUUACAUAUAGAUAUAUAGAGAGAGAGUUCAGCUGGGCUGUUUCUAAUAGCACCAACUACUUGGCGCUACCAAGUUUUUAACCGUUAGAUUUACCCCUUGGACUAUUUCCGUUCAUUAGAUCAUACUAUUCAACCAACCACCCACUCAAUUCUAAGGGAACACUAUCAUUCUAACUGUAUAUUCUCUCAUCCAAAGGCCGAAAAUUUAAUAGUACCAAUGACUUGGUGUUAUUAUAAGCAUUCCAGCCUAAUUAUAUAUAUAGAGAGAGGGAGAGAGAUAGAGAGAGAGAUCUAAGCUCCCGUGUUUUUAAAAGCACAGGAGUAUUUGUGCUUGUGACUUUUUAGCCUUUAGAUUAUCUCAACGAUGUAUUCUGUUAAGUUUCUUUUAUUAGUGUUGCACAGAUCUUGAAGAUAUCUUCAUCACAGUUAGGCUUCAAAGUUUAAAAUUGCCUCGCAAUGUGGUCCAUGCAAAGAAAUAAUUUUGAAGGCAUCAUAUAAAUAAGAGAGCCAAAAGGAUAAGGAAUAAUAAGGAAUAAGGGAUAAUUAAUUAAACUCCACGUGAUCCAAACAAGUUUUUUUCCCUCAAAACUUCAAAAAAAAUUUUGCAACCUUUUGUGGUCAUCGCUGGUAUUCAACAAUGCAGAUUUAGAGAAACAACUGCAAGAUAUGACUUGUUUAAGACAUAAAGAAUUGCUAAAAUAACUUAUUUGAAUUUUGAUCAUGGCUACAAAAUUUUUAUUUUGUGGGUCGACCCAAAUUUGGAGGCUUUAAAUAACAUAAGUUCUUUCAAUAGUUUUUGUUUCUGAUUCCUACUCCAUUACCUUCUGAUUUUGAAUCAUGUUAUGUACAUAUAUGCAUGUAAAACCUUGUGAUUUUGAAUCAUGUUAUGUACAUAUAUGCAUGUACAAAAGCAUGUAAAUAGGUAGAUACAUAGAUGGAUCAUGGAUAGAUACAUAUAUAGAUACAUGUAAAUAUAUAGGUAGAUAUAUACAUAGCUGGAUCAUGGAUAAUGUAAAUAGGUAGAUACAUAGCUGGAUCAUGGAUAGAUACAUAUAUAGAUAACUAAGAGGUUUCACCAAUCAACUGUUUGACUUAGUGUACUGUAGAGCCCGCCUAUGGCCCUUCUAAAAGCACCAAGCACUUGGUACUUGUAAACUUUCAGUCAUUAGAUCUUUAUCCAUAUGAUUAUUUUUAUCCAUUAAAUCAUCCUAUUCAAUCAACCACCCACUCAACCCUAGGGGAUUAUUAUCAUAUCCUAACCACACAUCCUUGAAUCUAAGGAUCAAAAACUUACAAGCACUAAUGACUUUGUACUUUUAAAAGUAUAGGCGCUCAAUUUUAUAUAUGUAUAUGUAUAUAUAUAAAAGCUACUAGAGAGGUUCAUACUUGGUUUUCCUGAUCUAGCUAAUUAAGGAGUAUAAUUGCUUGAUUCUCACAUAGUUGUACGUCUAUAGUUCAACAUGCAUGUCCUAUACCAAACCAGAUUAAUAAACUUGAUGCAUCUUUCACACUAGCCAAUAAACUAAGACACCCCAACCCCCCCCNCCCCCCCCUCUCUCUCUCUCUCUCUCUCUCUCUCUCUCUCUCUCUCGGGUUGCAAACAUUCUCUCUCAUCCAUCCACAUGCACAAGUCACAAGGAAAUUCUGAGUGAUUCAUGGUGGAGACCACUGGUGGAAAAGAGAACAACAAUAAUAAUGAGAUAAUUAUUAUGGGAGGUCCCAUUAUAUAUAUAUUUGGACCACAGUUACUAGUUCACAAAGAAAAAUACUCACUCAGCUGGGUACCCACCAAAGUCCCCCUAUAUAUAUAUGUACAUUAAUACAUAGACAAAUCCAUAUUUCAGCUUACAUAAACUAAUUAGAAGCCUUGGAAUAUGCCAUGUAUGUCAAUACAUCAACAAAUUAUCCUCAUAUGUUGUUGAUAUACUAAUCAGUCCAUAUGGUGCCUUCGCUGUGGCAUAUAAAUCAGUAAGAGGAGUAGAAUAUACUACUAGGAGAAGAGAGAUUUUAAUUGGCUUAUCCACACAACGUAAUUAAUACUCUACAUGAAUUUGCCGACAUAUCAACAACACAGAGAAAAUAUUUGUGGGGCCCAAAGUACGUAUUUUUCUGAUUAAAAAUCUUAUCAGGUAUACGAAACAUAUCAAACGUACAGUUCAUAAUUAACAACAACAUCACAAGAAGCACAUAAAUAUAUAUAUAUAUAUAUAUAUAUAUCUCACUCCGAUGAUACGAAGACCUUCGUGCCUCGGAAAGUACGAAAGUCCAGCAAAAGCUAGAACGCUGAAAGCUUAGCAGCUAGCCGAGGCAAUUUGAAUUAGAUCUCAUAAACUUCAUGGAUCUUUUAUUUAAAACGCUAAAAAGCUAUAAUAAACGGAUCACUUGCUUCCCCGAGUUUUAGUUAUCGACUUUUAUUUUUAGAAUAUUUUGCACUAUUAUACUGUAAUUUUAAAAUCUAGUUUCAAUAACUAGAACAAAAUAUAUCAUAUUUCUUAAAAGAUAGUUUUAAAAUGCACUAAACCUAUAAAGAUGUGGCAAUUUGAACGUUUGUCGAGUGAUGACGGUAAUUUUAAUAACUAAAACUCGGAGAAGUUAGUGAUCCGUUUACUAAAGCUUUUUAGCGUUUUAAAUAAAAGAUCCAUGAAGUUUAUGAGAUCUAGUUCAAAUUGCCUCGGCUAGCUGCUAAGCUUUCAGCGUUGUAGCUUUUGCUCGACCUUCGUGCCUUCCGAGGCACGAAGGCUAUCGUAUAUAUAUAUAUAUACCCCCUCUUCACGAAAAUUAAUGAGAACAACGAUAAACAAAACUUACUUGGGAGUCCUGAGGGACGUACGUACACUCCGCUAAGUGACGUAGAACGACAAGCAAGCACGCCUUUUCCUGAACGUGUGGGGGGAGGGGAGGAGUUUUCGUACUGGAUGAUGUAGACACUCCNAUAUAUAUAUAUAUAUAUAUAUAUAUAUAUAUAUAUAUAUAUAUAUAUGAGUCCGGCUAUAGUACUUUUAAAAGCACUAAUUAAGUACUUAAUGUUUGUAAGUUAGUUUCUUAAAGUUACAUUUAUCUCGUUGACCACGUACACCCACUCCAUCCUAGAGGAUCAUUAUUAUCCUAACAUAUAACUCUACAAAUCUUUAUCUAAAGGCCAAAAACCUACUAACACUAAUUAAGUGCUGCAUGUAGGUUUUCAGCCCUUGGAUUAAGGUAUGUGCAGUUAAGAUGAUAAUGAUUUUCUAGAAUUGAGUGAGUAUUUGGUUGAAUAGUAUGCGGAUGAAAUGGUAAAAAUGGUAGAUUCAAUAGUGAAAAACUUAUAAGUACCAAAUACUUAGUGCUUUUAAAAGCACUAUAGCUACACUCUCUCUCUCUCUCUCUAUAUAUAUAUAUAUAUAUGCGGAUGAAAUGGUGAAAAUGGUAGAUUCAAUAGUAAAAAACUUAUAAGCACCAAAUACUUAGUGCUUUUAAAAGCACUAUAGCUACACUCUCUCUCUCUCUCUCUAUAUAUAUAUAUAUAUGCAUCUUUAAAUUAGUUGCAUGCAGGUGGGACCAUCUUCAUAUAUAUGCACCUGUGCAUGCCAUUCUCAUGAUAUGCACCCCAGCUGUGCCGGACGUGGCACAAUCAAAUUGUCAGAGUAAAAAUUUGCCCUACAUAUUCGUUUCCCCUAUGCUUUUCAUUGCCAUAAAACACCAAGAUUGCCCUUUUUCUUUUUCUUUUUUGAGGUACGUAAUAUUAUUGAGAAAGUUGAUUUCAGUAUUUGAUGAAUAGAUCCAAAGAAUUUGAUCAGAUUUGAUCGAUUAAUUUACUCAACACUGGUUACCAUCGAUUACUUACGUUUAUAGUGCUCUUUUGUAAGCUGUUAUAUGUUGGAUUAUUAGUUAUUUAAUAUAGUAUCAAAACUCAUAUCUAUGAAUUUGGAUACAAUUUUACCAUCAAAAGUUACUGAUGAAAUAAAAAAAAUAAAAUAAAAUAAAAAUUCAUGCAUUAUAUUUUAAUGAAUUAAAUUUUCAUUUCUCUCACCUCUCUUGUGAAUAUAUAUCUUUUAUGAAUAUUAUAGUACUGUUAAAUAGCAAACACUGUACUCAGUACAAAGGCAUGAUUAAUAAGCUAGAAAAUAUUUCAUUCCAAUUUAGCUGCGUACGUACACAUUCAAGUUUCGUGACACAAAUAGUAAAUGCACGUACUAGAGAAAGGCGUGAGAACAUUAACUAGAGGUCGGUAUUUAAUUUAUAGGAGGAUAGCAAAAGAGCUAUCCAUAGACGUACGAUCGAUAUAAGCUUCAUUUGUGAUCUAUACCAGCACAUAAAAACCUCUGCAGAUAAAUUAAGAUAACAAUUUUUUAUUUAAGCUACUCUAGUUAGUUAUGUUAAAUAUAAAAAUAUAAAAAUAUCGUUCUUUACUAGUUUAAGCUAUUAAAGAUAAAGAUGUUUUAUUUAAUUUCAUAGAGUAUCAGAACAUAAGACUCUGAAUUCACGUUGCGCCAUACUCUAUGCAUUAUUGAUUUUCUUUCAUUUAAUUCAAGUUCAUGUACAUUAUGUGUUUAGCAAAAAUAUUUUGAGCCUAGACGUGAGGGGGAGUACUAAAUAUAAAAAUAUUGAGAAAUAACAGUUGUUUUACAUUAUUUAACAGUUAAAUUAAUUUAAAAAUCUUUUAUCUUAAGUUAUUUUUAGCAUUUUUUUAAAACUAAAAUCACUUAAUUGAAAAAGAGUUAGAAGUUAAGUUGAGGGGUUUUUUUUUCAAAAUUGCCUAUAGUUAGGGGUACACUACAUAAAGUUUUACCUAAAAUAUAUUCCAUGAAAAAAGUCAUAAUAAUAAAAUAUAAGGCACUUCUCAUCAAAGACAAAUUUGGUCGAGAAGAUGCACGGAUGAUCCAAAGAGUCAUUUUCGGGUCCUACAAAGAAAAAUUAUACCAACUCUUGUUAUCUUAUCUAAUAAAAAACUCUUCCUAAAGGAGAAAUUAUUGAAUGAACCGCAAUCCUACAAAUUAAGUAUAAAUUAUUUUAUAUAAUCCAUAUAAUAUAGAAUUUAAAAUUUUUGAUUUAAAAAAUUUAGUUAUUUUUCUUAGUGAUAAGUAAUAGACGUACUUUUUGUACACUUGUAGUUUUGCUGACUUCUUAAUGCCUAAUAGAAAAUUUUUAAAAGACUGAAAAGCAAUUAAAUAACUAACCAUUGAAGUCAUUUAGCACUUUUUAUCUUUUUGAUGGUGAACUAAUACACACACACACAUAUAUAUAUAUAUAUAGAGCUAGGCUGGUAUACUAUCGGUAGCACAGAGGCCUUCGUGCUACCAAGUUGUUUUCAAUGAUGCGGCUUCCAAAUCGACGAUCGGCUCCGUUAAACUUGAUCUACACUAUUAAAAGUAUUUAAAAAUUAAAUUUCUUAAUUUUUUGACAUCAUUUGGCUAGUGAUCAAAAGGUCUCAAAAUUGAUAAUUUUAAUGGUAGAUUUGAUGCGUUUGUGAAUUUAACGGUGUAAAACAAUCCAAAUUGGAUGAAAUUUUAAUGGAAAAUUCUUUUCACUAUUUAGAGUAAGAUCAGUACCUUUGAUCUUAAAUUCAAGUCUUUUAUCACCAUUUUUUAUGAAAUUUUUAUUUUCAGCUGUUCAUUUUUAGACUUCUUGUUUGAUAGGUAAAUGAUGCCGAAAAAUUAUGAAAUUUAAUUUUCAAAUACUUUCAAUAAUAUAGAUCAAGUCUAACGGAGCCGAUCGUCGAUUUGGAAGCCGCAUCAUUGAAAACAACUUGGUAGCACGGAGACCUCCGUGCUACCGAUAGUAUACCAGCCUAGCUCUAUAUAUAUAUAUAUAUAUAUAUAUAGGGAGAGAGAGAGAGAGAGAGAGAGAGAGAGAGAGAGAGUAUGACUUAUAUACUUUCAAAAGCCGAGAGACAUCCAUACUUUCAAAUUACUUUCGAUAAUGAAACAUUCGAUUUGACGAUCAGCUCUGAUAGUCAUGAUCUACGCUAUUGAGCUAUGUGGAAACAAAAUUUCAUAAUUUUUUAGUAUUAUUUACUAAAUAAUCAAAGGGUCUAAAAAUGACUAUGUUAUUGGCCGAUAUGCCACGUUUUUAAGUUCAAAGACUUAGAAUGAUUCCAAUUAAGUGAAUUUUUAAUAUAAAAUUCUAUUUAUAUAUCAUCAAGAAUGAGAUUAGUAAUUUCCAUUUGAAAUUUAUGUCUUCUAUUACUAUUUUUUAUAUUUUUUUUUUCAGCAGUUUACUUUGAGAUUACUCGCUUACUAAGAAAAUAAAAUAAAAGAUUAUGAAAUUUAGUUUUUAGAUAAUUCAAAUAUUAUAUAUCAUGUCUAACAAAAUCAAUCAGUAAAUCAGAUAUUUCAUCAUCGAAAAUAACUUAAAAGUACGGAGGCCUCUAAGCUUUCUAAAAUAUAUUAGCCUUUGAAAGCAACUAUUUCUAGGUACAUUAUAUGUUCAAAUAGUAUAAUAUUUUAAUAAAUAGUGUAGCGUCGCGUUGUUCGCCAAUUUUUUUUUUUCUCUCACUACCAUCACUACCUCGUCGUCAUCAGCUAAGCUCGCUGUAAACAUGCUUCAGAAGCAUCAGCUAGCGAUCGUCGCCCUCCUUCUCAACCACCUUCAUCUCCGUGACGGAGCACAAGCUACAACGAUGAGCUAGUCAAGUUCGUCGUAUUUCUUCUACUCAUAAAGGAUUCAUGAUGUGGAUGCGACGGAGGAAUUGAUAUAGAAGAGAUGGAACUGGGGUGAGCUACGCUGUCGGAAUUGAUACAGAAGAGAUGGAACUGGGAUGAGCUAUGCUAUCACCGGCAGUGGAGGCAUGGCCUGUGAGAGGAAAAAUUCUAGAAUGCAACGGGUAUAUUGGUGACGUGGCGUAACAAACCAAUCAAAUAUAUUCUUUUAAGGAUAUUUGUUCCAUCAUAAUUGUAAAAAAAUAUUUUUAUUAUACUUUUGUUUGCAAAGAAUGAAUAUGAUUGGCUUGUUAUUGAUAACGUGGUGUAAGCGUGACAGUGUAAAAUUUUUUCUGUGAGAGAGGGGCGGAGGAAAGAGAGAUCGAAUGUUUAAGACAAAGAGGCAUUUUAGUCAAUUUUCAAACAUUUAGUCNAAAAAAAAAAAAAAAAAAAAUGAUCCACUUCUAUAAAAACACGAAACUAAUAAAUUUUUUAAAAAAACCAAGAGGCUUUUUAAUAUUUAUAUUCAAAGUGGCGUAGGCUCGAGUGAGUUUCGAAGAACCUGAUGUACGUGUAGACCGCGGCGCACGCAAUAGUUGUUGGCUCCUACAUAACGUCGGACCCAACUGAAACUGACCAAAUGAUUUCACCAUGAUUUGCCCCGUGAGCCACCCUUUCUCUCUCUCUCUCUCUCUCUCUCUCUCUCUCUCUCUCUCUCUCUCUCUCUCUCUCUCUCUCUUUGCGUUUACAUCAUUCAUUCCAAAACCCAACUCCCGUAUAAAGACAACCCCCCAUUGCCGGCCAUCUCACAUGCCCCCACAACUCAACGUAUCUCCACCUUCUCUGCUACUUCCCCUCUCUCCCUCUUUCUCUCUCUCUAUCUCCUCUUCUUCUUUCACAAAUCCCUUAAACAAAUUCACACACACACACACACACACACACACACAUAUAUAUACACCUCCUAUAGCAACUAGUUCAUCUCUUCCUCUCUCUUUCUUGAUCAGUUUAGUUCCUUAGCUCUUAAGGUGUAGCUAAUUAUAUACAGAGCUAAGAGCCAAAAUCUCUACUCUUCUUCUGUUACUCUACUGAAACAUUCUUGUACUUGAGCCUCUCUCCCUUAGCCUUAGUGAUUCCUUGAUUCACCCAAAGCCAACGUGCAUACAUAUCCACUUGCCUAAUUGUUGCCUUUGAGCAGGGAGAACACAAGAGACCCAAAAUUGCACACCCCUCUAUACAAUUAUGCUUUGUACAAGCACCAAAUCCACACCUCAAUAGUACUUGGUCUUUUACCAGCUAGCUUGUGUGUCUCUAUUUUUUUUUUCUCCUUCCCUUAAUUCUCUACCCCGCCACAUGAUGCAAUUCACCCAGAGCGCACCACCCCCUGCCCCUCUUCUUCAUCAUAACGGCGGCGGCCACGGCCUCGGCCUCGAUCUCGCCGAGCCCGACCAGCCGCUGCUGUACUCUCAACGCUGCGCUGCGCGCCCGCCGUGGACUGGACGCAGCGCGGUGGCCUUCCCGACCUCCUCGAGGGCGCUCGGCAGCUUCAACACCGCCGGCUGCAUGGAGCAGCUGCUCGUGCACUGCGCGAACGCCAUCGACGGCAACGACGCCACCCUCGCGCAGCAGAUCCUGUGGGUGCUCAACAACAUCGCCCCGCCCGACGGCGACUCGAACCAGCGCCUCACCUCCGCCUUCCUCCGCGCCCUCGUCGCCCGCGCCUCCGCCACCGGAUCUUGCAAGAUCCUCGCCUCCCCCCCGGCCCCCGCACGCCACCACCAGUUCUCCGCCCUCGACCUCGCCAACUUCGUCGACCUCACCCCCUGGCACCGCUUCGGCUACACUGCAUCCAACGCCGCCAUCCUCGAUGCUGUCGAGGGCUCCUCCGUCGUCCACAUCGUCGACCUCGGCACCACCCACUGCAUGCAGAUCCCCACCCUCAUCGACGCGCUCGCUAGCCGCCCCGAGGGCCCACCAGUCCUCCGCCUCACCGUGCCGUCCGCAACCGCGAAUUCGCCGCCGCCUAUGCUCGACAUCUCCUACGAUGAGCUCGGUUCGCGUCUCGUUAAUUUUGCGCGAUCGAGAAACAUUCCGAUGGAGUUCCAAGUGGUCCAUUCGAGCCCCUCUGACGGCUUCAGCGCACUCAUCGACCAGCUAAGAGUGCAACAGCUAGUCUCCGAAGGCGGCGAGGCCCUCGUGGUGAACUGCCAAAUGCUGCUACACUACAUCCCUGAUGAGACCGCAGGUGCGAUCGCAACGCCACCCGUCUCCCUCCGGUCGAUGUUCCUCAAGGCGGUGCGGAGCCUCGAGCCAGCGUUGGUGACUGUGGCCGACGAGGACGCCGACUUUACCGCGACUGACGUAGUCUCGCGGCUGCGCUCGGCGUUCAACUAUCUAUGGAUCCCCUACGACGCGGUUGACACGUUCCUGCCGAAGGGGAGCGAGCAGCGGAAGGAGGCUGCGGCGGAGGUGAAGGGGAUGCUCGAUGAGCACGCGGCCGGGUGGGGGAUGAAGAGGGAGGAGGACGGAGAUCUCGUGCUCACAUGGAAGGGGCACAACGUCGUGUUCGCGACGGCGUGGGUGCCCUCGUGAGGAUCAGAGUACAUAAGCAAAUAUAUACUAUGAGAUUUCGAUCGAUCGAUUAUAUUGUUGCUGCAGCGACGUACGCCCAGCUUGCGUGCAUGGGGAAGAAGCUCGUGUGUAAGUGCACUACGUAGCUCUCCUGAUCUAAUUUGAUCUUAAUGCUGAUUAAUGAUUCGUUAAUGCUCGGGUUUCAUUAAUUAAUUUGUUCAAAAUUUAGUUAGAUAACCUGAUGAUCGAGCUUAAUUAUAGUUAGUACACUUCUGUGCUCUCUCUAGAUCUCAAUGUUGUGUGAGUGUGUAUGUGUGAAAUUGCUUAAUUCUUAUGAAUACAAAUAUGUACUAUAUAUGUGCUGAUUCUAAAUCUAAUGAGUCGUGUUUCUUAAAAUGAACAAUUUAUGGAUUUUUUAAUGCAAUUAAUCUGCAUGCAUCUUCGAGUUCCUAAUUAAGUGCAACAAAUAAAUAUCUGAAUCGUACGCAAGUUCUAUCUAUAUUUUCUCUUUAAUCACACAAACAUAGCAUGUAUCUCAGAUUCUCACAAUCUUUAAAUGAAUAAUUCUAGAUAGCUUGAAAAGGUAUGAACAUGCAAUCUUUCAGUUUUUUUUAAUUCUUAUCAAAUGCUUCAAAAAAAAUUUGUAUAUAUAGAACAUAUUUUGCAGAUCAUGUAAGCAUAUGUAGCUUAAUUAUAGAUGUUCCUAAUAACACAAUAUAAAGGUGGAGGUUUUUCAAACAUGCAUUAAUUUUCUUUAGUAACUUUAACUCUCUAAAAUGCAGCUACUUAAUAGGCUUCUAACAUUAAUUUCUUUCUAUUUAAUUCAAAUCCAUGUCAUGGACUUGAAUUAAUUCAAGUCCAUAUCAUGGACACAGUUUAAGCUUUCAGGAGUACACGAUUGCAAGUUUAGACAUGCAUUAACUUUCUUUAGUAACUUCAACUCUCUAAAAUGCAAUUUCUUAAUUAAUAUAGGGUAAACUUCAAAUACCACCCCUAUAAUUUUACACUUUCUGUUUUAAGCUUACUCAGAUGGUCUAGACCAAUUAAUGUUUAGGACCCGAAAUUAAUUCGAGCCUGGUUCGACCAAACCUUUCCCUUAACUUGAAUGUGGCCAGGCCUAAUUGAAUAGUAGAGCCAAUUUGAAUGAUUUGCAUCAUAUCAUGUCAUAUUGACUUACAAAUUAUUUUUAAAAAAAAUUAUACGAUGAGUUAGAAAUUAGAAUAAAAUGAAAGAAAUAAUAUAAACACGCAAACUCGGAUGUAUGCUAACAUCAAUCUGGUCCAAACAUUUGACAUACUUAUCCCAUCACUCUGGCUCUCACCCUCUUAACUUUUCAUGGCACGGCCAUUCUCGAAAGAUCCUGCUCACGAUUUACUUAUCAAUAUAUCAACAACAUAUAAAGAUAAAAUUUCAGAGAAUUUAAUUUAAAGCAUUUCUUAAAAAAAGGCCCCAAUUUUGGGCCCAAGAGCCCAAUAUCGCGAGGCUUUUGAUUGCAAACAAAUUAAGUAUAGUUUUUUUUUUAUAUGUUGAUUUGUUCUUGCUAGCAAAUUUUUUUGGGCUGUUUAUUUUCUUAUUUGCCUUCAUAUUUUAAAAGAAAAAAAAAAAACUCCCUAUUUGCUUUAACUUCUAACGUAAACUUGGCAAAAUUUUUAUUACAUUAUUUGAGCAACUCAUUUAUUCCUCUCUUGCAACCACAUGCUACUUGAAUAAUGCUUGAGAUAUGGCUUACACUUAAUUACACUAUAGUACACUAUACUACGCAUAUUUUUUUUUACUUUAUACACUGUACUAUUUUUUUUUUUUUUUCAAAGAGAUCAUGCAACUAUCAAGUCUUUUCAAUCCAUACACUAUAAGCAAUAAAUUUAUAAUUUUAUACAAAGAUAAUAAAAUACACUGGUUAAAACUGGCAAAGCAUAUAUUCAAUUCAUUUUGACAUGAAAAAUAAUAAAAUAUAGAAAAAUAACAAAAGAUAAUUAAAAGUAGCUUGAUAGAAAUUUUCAAUUAGUCUAUUAUGGAGAUCUAUUUUAUACCCUUGCUACUAUUUAACGAGUGCCUCCUAUAUAAUAAAGUUGUUAAAUUUUGUCUAAAAUAAUAGAUCUCCAUAAUAGACUAAUUGAAAAUUUCUAUCAAGCUACUUUUAAUUAUCUUUUGUUAUUUUUCUANUAGUCUAUUAUGGAGAUCUAUUUUAUACCCUUGCUACUAUUUAACGAGUGCCUCCUAUAUAAUAAAGUUGUUAAAUUUUGUCUAAAAUAAUAGAUUUGCAAUAGUAACGUAGAAAUUGGGAAGAAAAAAAUAGUUUAGUGAUAUCUAUGAGAGAAGAAAAAGUAUCAGAUAGAAAAACAAAAAUAAAUUUAAAAUACACUAUAGAGAUUAAUGAAAUAUAACAAUAUAUAUAGCCUAAUAGGUGUCUUCGGAAAAAGAAUAGUAUAAUGACAUAUAAAAAAAAUACCAAAAUACAGUAUAGUAGAGUAUAAUUAAGCAUGCAUAUUAAUACCUCCAAUCAUGCUCUUUCUAAACUUUCAUCCUAUCUUUUACUUUAAAUCAAAGCUAUUCAAUUUUUAAACAAAGAAAAAAAUCCAGCUUGCGAAACGGUUGGAAUAUGAGAUGGAAUGAAAGAUCAAUAGAUAUGAAGUGGUGCAAGAAAAGAAAAUAAGAUAAAGGAAAGAAAUUGGAGUGUCAUACGCAUAUUCUCAAAGUUCAAGGACCAAAUUGAAGCUGUUAAAAUGUCAAUAUUUUUUGAGAGAAGGGUUGUAAAUUAUUUAUUUCGUUCAUUUUUUUUUAAAAGAUAAACUCAGCGAAAAAUAUAAAGUUUCACACUUGAAUUAACCAUCAAAUUUUUAACCAACUGUGCUAACUACCAUCGGUGUUAAAAGGCCAAUAUUAAGCUCAUGUGCUUGCAUGAUGAAGCAUCUUACAACAGUUACCACUUAAGUACUUAUUAGGAGGGUCACAAAAUUCGAAAAAGCUUGAGAACUCCACUCUUCCUUUGUGCACUAUAAAUAAAUUGAGUUUAAACCUUGCAUUUGGAAGAACCAUCCUAAUGGAGUGAAGGGAUACAUGCAACUUCUUUCCCUUUUAUUAUUAUUAUUAUUAUUAUUAUUAUUAUUAUUUCUGCUCCUUUAAUUCAAGUAUGAGACUUAAAACGCUAGAGGGGGACGGCACCAACCAAUUAUUCUGAAUAGUGACUGCGGAAAAAAUAUUUCAACCAAGAACUUAAAUUGGGCCUAAACCACCGGACCAAUAUAAUUAAGCUCAGUUAUUAUUACUAACGUAUAGGUCUUACAUAUUCUAAUUAGAAUCAGUUUUUCAUCUAAUGUGGCACUAUUGGAGCGUUACAAACUCUCUCUGUUUAGACCAUGAUAUUCUCGUUAAGUCUAAACCCGAUAACAGAUAGACAGAUCAGGAUCAAAAUUAUUAGGCAAUGUGAGAUUUUAUAGGUGAUUCCUACGGGUUCAAGAGGUGGCUUCCACUAUUCGUUGGUGUAGUACUUUACCCCGCAUAGUAUUUAGCUCUCAAAUUUUCAGCUAGUAUUCAGUUCUGAUUUUACAUGUUAUCUGUCUGGUUCUGUAGCCUCAUAUAUUUACUAAUUUAGUAGGCAUGUGACAUCUGUUACACCUCGAAUUUGAGACGUGACAAUUCUAAAAAGGAUUAUUGAAUUAAAAUAAAAAAAUGCUCAAGGUUGGUGGUCAUUUUCCAAAUCCGUCCCAUGUGGGGGAGAAUGGGAUGGUGGAGUUAAUUUCCUCAUGAUGGGUAUGUAAUGGUUACCAAGCAUUGCAUGUAAUAUAUAUAUAUAUAUUGAGAGAUAGAUAGCACGCUAUCCGCUUCGUUUAUACAUGUGUAUAUAUUAAUAUGCAUUUAUUUGGACUUAAUUGGACGCGUAGUUUGUCACGAACAUGUCUCUUUCUUAGGUCAAAUUUACUUACCAAGCAUUGAGACAAAGCAAUCAUUUUAACUCUUAAAAAGGAAAAGAAAUAAAAGGGAGUGUGAGAAAUCAUCUUACAUAUAGAUUUGGGAAUUGUGUGCAUUUAAUGUGCCGCUUUAAGAUGUGUGCAUUUAAUGUGUUAUUUUUAAAAUGUAAAAAUGCGUGGAGCAAAUCUAAUUUAUGUUUUAUUUUAAAAUAAUUACCUAAUUUCGAUUCAUCAUUUAAAUAGGAUAAUGUAAAAAAUUAUUUUGAACCAUUCGAACAGGCCGUUCAACCGUUGAACCAGUGAAUUAGUACGAUUUUAAUCAAAUCGGCCAAAUUUUUUUGAUUAAAUCAUAUUAAAAUUUAAUGACUUAAAAUUAAUUUAACUUAUUUUAUUUUUUAUUAUUAUACAUUAAUCUUAUAAAAAGUAAAAUUUGAAAAUUUAUACAUAAAUAAUUUGAUCUAAAAAUUAGUAUUUUAUAAGUAAGUAUAAUACUAGAAUAAUAAUAUAUAUAAAUAUUUUUGAAAUAAUUAUCUAUAUAUGUCUCAAAAUUUUGGAAAUAUCUCAUUUACUCAUGUUUUUCUUUUUUCAAGUUAUCACCAGUAAGUUAACUUGAGUGAAACGUAAGUUAAAUAUAUAUCAUAGUUAAAAAAAAAAAUUUUAAAUAACUUUUUUGCCUUUAACUUAAUAGCAAAUAAAAAAUAUUAGUGAUAGUUGUAGAGUAUAUUUGAAAAAAUAAAAACAUGAGUAACGGUUAUUCAGAAAUGUUAUUAGGUUAAGGACCGCUAGUUGGUUAGUGACGUCAACAUGACGACAUAUUAUUUAUUAUUUUUAAUUUUAUAGAUAUAAUAAUUAUUGCUAAUAAUUCAUUAAUAAAAUUUAACUUCAAAAUAUAUUUGAAAUAGAUUAAAACGGAAAAAAGUGUUUUCAAUACUAACAUUUUAAAAAAGAUAAAUUAGAAAGUUGAAAAUUUUUUAAAAAUAUAUAAACAAUUGUUUCAAUAAUUUUCAUAUAAUAAAAUUAAAAAUAAUAAAUAAUAUCGUACGGUGACAUUUUCGAACUGCCAUUUCACCGCCUUUUUGAAACAUUGAUUUUUAUCUGACAGGCGAGACAGAGAGUCCCCACACAUGUUUACUAGACUCACAGUUGUCUGCACAGUGCACACACCGCACUUCACCUGACGUGCUUUCUUCCCUGCACGCUGCUCUCUCGCUCUCUCUCCCUGAUGCAGACAGACUGCAGCCCUCAUUACCUCCCCCUCUGCUGCAGGCUCGAUUUCCGAGCGCAGAACACCCCUCGCUCGCAUUCAAUUCCCCAUAACUAUCCACAAAAAUAUACUAAUAAGAGAGAGAGAGAGAGAGAGAUUGGUGGGGGGGGGGGGGGGGCGGAAGAGAUACAUAGCGAGGGAUGGAACGAGAAGCCCUCCCCAACGGAAUUCCCGGCGGAGAUUUGAAUUCGCUGGCGAUCGUCGCGAAACAAAUCUUUUCGCCCAUCCUCACUCACCUCUUCUCCUUCUUCUUCUUCUUCUUCUUCUUCUUCUUCUUCUGUUUGGUGGGCCUUCUUGGUGUUUGAAGGAUUGCGCGAGAGAGAGAGGGAGAUGAUGGGGCGUUUGGGGAUUUGGGUUUUGCAUGCUGUGGUCGGCGCUGCUUUCAUGAUGCUCUUUUCCUCCAGCAAAAUCGGCGGCGGCGGCGGCGGCGAUGCUGGUAUUGGACUCAUUGUUUCGAGGGUUUGUAGUGUAUUUGCAUGCAGUUUUCUAUUUUGUAGCUUAAUGUGUUAGUGUUUUUUUGUAUAUAGAUUUUCUGUAAGUAUCUGUCAGCUGAAAGGAUAGCGAAGUACUAUACACGUAGUUUUGAAAGGGAAAACAGAUACUAUAAAAAAGCAAAGUACUUUAUAAACCAAUGUUCUCAGUGUGGAUCGAAAUUAGUAAUCAAUAAUUUUUAAAGCGUCAAGCGGAAGAAAAUGACGCACUUAUUACAGUUUAUAAAGUGUCUAGACAGACAAUGCUCGUGGGCUUCGAUUGUGACUUGGCCUCACUCGGGCUCCGCCGCAGGUAAGAUGCUGGCCUAUUUAAUCCAAUAAUCCCUCCCCUCGUAGAGAGAAGUUAGCCUUCGCCACAGAUAAGAUGCUGGCCUAUUUAAUCUAACAAUCCCUUCCUCCGUAAAGGCCUGGAUGAUUGGUAUCUGAGAUCCUAAGUACAACGCCUAAUUAUUUUAUAUUUCCAGCUAAAUAAAGCCUAAUUAUUUUAUAUUUCGAGCUAAAUUCAUUUCUUAAAAAUAAUGAACCAAUGGGAUAGCAUGCUAUCUUUCUCUCUCUCUCUCUCAAAAAAAAAAAAAAAAAACAUUGCUAUGUUUUAUAGAUAGACACGAGUUCAUGGCAACUGCAAUCAGUGACUAUUGUUUGAAAUGUGCAAGUACUUUGACAUGGGUAAAGUUCAUUUGGAUAUGCUUACACGGAAAGAUUAAUCAGAGGAUGGUUCUUUUGUUGAUGGACUAUGUUAACAGAGAUUUGAGUUGAAUUGAGGAAAAUGAUUCACAUGCAAUUUGGGUCAGAAGUAUUUGCUGUUGGAGAAAUCUUUCUAAAGAGUGAAAUUGAUACUAUAAAAGUUAAUAUAAUUUGUCUUUUUCGGUUAUAAUUUUUUGGGCCUAUUGGACACAAUGGUAAAGUGUGGGGUGAAAAUUGAAGCAAUUUUAUAUGCAAGUGGGAUAUUGGGACAUGGGGUAAAGAGCAAAGGGGAUUUAUGUGAUUUUGCUUAAAUUAAGCGGCAAGUGAUUGAUAACCAAAUUGAAGCUAAAAUUGAAGUUCAGGCAUCAAUUAUAGCAAAUUGCAGUUCGGCAAACUAAGCCUUGUGAUAAGAUGAUGUAAUUCGUGUUGUUUUUGUGCUACUUAUAUUGAGUUGCUAAUUUCCUAAAUUAGGAUUUUAGAUUUAUUUUUUUUGCGCAAGUGGGUUAACAUACUACUAUUUUCUUUUUGUAGUUAGCAUAUACUAUUUGUUCCAAGUAAGCGAAGAGAUUUUGUUAGUAUAUUCUACUUCAUCAUUGUAGUCAUUUGAAGGGCAAUAUGCACUAAAAGUCCCAACUUGUCAACGCUUUGUGGUGAAGUGGGAUAGUUGCGUCCAUUAUGAUUAUCUUCUCUUUAUCCGGAUGUAACUGAUUUAUGCCGGACGAAGAAGUUAAUUUUAGCUAAUGUUUAUGCUCUUUUUGUCUCUUUUAAUUUUGCAAGUGACCAUUUUGUUUCUUUUGUUCUUGUCUUUGGAUUUCUCCUAUGCAGCCGUGUGACUAUUCACUAUUCAUAGUUACUACAAUUUUUGACACUUUGGAUGUUGCUAUUGCUGUCUCUGCUCUGUAAUUGCAUUCAUUUUUCAAACAUUAAGAAUAUGUAGUUCACUUUUAUCCAUCAAUAUCUUCGCCUGUGGCCUGAACCUCGCAGUUAAACUGCAUUCGGACUUGAACUCUGCAAACCGUGGAGUGUUACUGCUUACGCAUGUUGAAGAUAUUGGACCGAUGAUAACCAACAGAAAAUUGAAGGUAUGUGUUUUGCGAUGCAAUUUUUUCGACCAGAGGAAUAGAUGCUUAAUCUUCAAAUCCCAAAUUAUAACUAAUGCGAGCCAACGAAGUUUCAUGGGCUUCUCUUUAAGUUCGUGGUUUGUUUAUUAAAAAGUUUACUGUUUUUACAGAUAACAAAGCAAAUUGGUCUUCCAACCAACAUAGUAUGAGAAUUAUUUCUAAGUUCAGCAGAUUUUCUGUUGGGAUUUCCGUAAAUAUGUUUCUUUUCCUUGAGUUGCUCUGGAGUUAUAGGGGCUUCCCUCUGUUGACUUCUUUAGGCCAAAUUACUUUUAUAUCCUCUAGCUACCUAGAAUAUUGUUGGUAAAAACACAUAGAACUUAUCUGAACAACAGCCUAUUUUGAGUCAGCAACCCAACCUUUUAAAAUCUUGAUUUUACUACUCAAAUCUUUUAAUUUGUUUGAUUUGUGUCCGUCGUAGUACUUUGACUUCAAAACUUGAGCUAAUUUUUUGCUCUAAUGAAUUUGUAGUUGAGAGAAUUGUAUAAUGUAUACUAACUAAACUUGUGAACAUGAAUGACGCAUUUAAAUUUUGAAGUUAAAGUGUCAUUGACCGACUCAAAUCAAAUAAAUUGAAAUGUUGGAUAGUAAAUCAAGAUUUUGAUAGAUUGGGAAGCGGACUCAAAAUGGUAUAUAGUUCAAGUAAGUUCUGUACGUUUUUACCACUAUUGUAUUUAUCCUUUGGAAGUUGUAAUGUUAGAAAUGCCCUUGUAACUGUCGGUAAUGUUCAUAGGCACCCUUAGUGGUAAUGGUCACUAUUUCUGUCCGGACAUUCUUCGCUCAAAUACCUCAUUUAAUCCAUGGCGAGGGCAUAUACGAAAAUAAACAGUAUAUUUACAGGGGUAUGGCAACUGUAGUAUGCAGGAAACAAAAUGCGCAAAACUAGUAACGAAUGAUAAAAAGCAUGCAAUGCAUCUCUUGCAGGAAAGGAGUCAGAGAAUGAGGGCUGAUAGAGCUCAUGACUUGGGAAGAAUAGAAACGGAAGACUACCCGCCGUUCGAUCCGAGCCCAAAUUCGAAGGCAAUGGUAAAAGCCGGACCGAUCGAGCAUGGAACUCCUCUCAUGCCGUAUAUCCCACGACCAACCCCUCCUCUCCACCAAAUAACACCUCCUCCCAGCAACCCCAAGCACGGGUACCCUUAAACCGCUCGCUUGUGACGUUUAAACCUGCAUAAUAUGACCUACGGAAACUAUUACGUUAUCGCAUGACUACUUGUAAUAUGGUUGUGACAUACAAGAUCCACUAUGCUGCUACGAAUGUAAUAUAUAAAUCCUUACGGUGAACUAGUUAUCACUCUAUCUCGUAUUCAAUGUUAUUAGUCGGUUUAAGUAUCUGAAUUUCUGUUUGUCGGAUGUUCUGGUGUUCGAUGCUGAUUGUUAAUUGCAACCUUUUUGUUACCCUAUAUCUGUUCUGGUAGUGUUCCUUUUUCUUCGCUAAGAAUAUAUUUUUAGAUAAAUAAUCGUUAGAGUUGCAAAAUCAGAUUGUGUGUAGAUGUAUAAUUGGCAUACUUCAAUUCGAUGCUUUUUACAUUGCUGUUAGAAGGGUCUUUGUGUGCGUGUCUGCGCGCGCGUGUUGGAGAUAAACUUGGGUGACAACCAUAAAUAGAAAGGAAAAGGCACAAAAAUUGUGCAUGAAAAGUGAAACAUCAAGGAGUUCAAUAGCAUCAAUAUCUGUUUAUUUAUCUAUUGAUAGGAAUUGAUGGUAUUUGACUAGGAUAGCAACUUUUCAACCUUCUCCCUGUUCUUGGACUUAAAUUUUACAUGCUAUAUAUAGUGCUAACAAACAGGAACUAGAGAGUAGGGAACAAUCCUGGUAGUUAUUAGUGCACAAUGAUGUGUCGCGAUAAAGAGGAGAAAACAAUGUAUCAACAAGAGAGGGUCUUUAAAUCUAAUCACGGUGCAUGAUUAACGGCAUUUUGUUACUUUGUCAUCAUCAUUAGUUGAUUUCUUUUCCAUUACGGUAAUCGCGACUAUUGAUGUUGUUUUCCUGCACUACAUCAUUGUCCAAUUUUAGGAUUCACAAACAAGCAAGGGUGAGCCUUUUAGCUCACUCUUCAAUUGAUUGAUAAUUAAUUGGGUCUACAUAGCCCUGCACAUUUCUAGCUCUGCAGCUGGUGAAUGUGUGCAACUCUAAAUGGUGUUUAAGGAUUUUUUUUUUUUUUUUUUUUUUUUUCCUGCUUCGGAAGAGUAUCAUACAUGAUACUCAUGGUACAACUUUUGCUAGUUCUACCAAUGAUUUUGAUAGGAAAGAGUACAAUGAAAAAAUCAAGUUGAUAUACUGAAAUGAUCCAGUAGUUUUGAGAGCAACACUUUAAGACUUGGCAUCCUUCAACUAAACUUUGAUUAAACUGCUUUCUCCUCCCAAUCAAGAUAUGUUAAAAUAAUAGAAAGGGUGUCUGAGCAUCAUUUUUGGGCCUUAUUCCACUUGUUCACAUGGCAAUUAGUUAUGCCCUAGCAAAAAAAGAUAUGUAUUGAUUGUUAAUGCUUGUACUAUCCAGAUAUUGCGAGUUGGUCUUUAGACUUUAGUUCUUAAACUUUCACAUAUACUGCAUUUUUGUACCCACGUGUCGAUGAAUUAUAAGCGUUUUGUAUUGUAAAAUGAUCAUUUAAUCUGAAUUGAGCUGGAAUACUUUUGGAAGUAGGCUACUUCCAACUUUUAGGCCAAAAAGCGAAAGUAGCUGCUUUUGAAAGUGUUCUAGCUCUCUCCAUUUCAUUCUAUGUCAAAUGAAACGAGUAAGUGAAUUAUUUAUAGUGUGAGAUAAGAUGUUUUAUAAGAAGAAAUAGAAUUUUUUGAACACUCAAAUAUAAUAUAUAUAUGAAAGUUCAGAAACUUAUCACAGAGGCAACAUUGCCAUAUUUGGAUAGCGCAGGGGCUAUCCACACAUUUUCACCCAAAAGUAGAUCAACUCUGGCCCUCCUGUAAAGGGUGGCAGUAGGACCCAAUGUACAAAAAGGUUGCACUGUUGGAAAGGGGAGAGGAGAAACCUCUUUUGAAAAGAUAAGGCUUAGAAUAAAGCUGCAGUAUUUUUAGGGCUUUUGUGUUCACAACUCUUUGGAGCAGGAUACUGCAACAGGUGAGGCUACAUCUGUGAGAUCCAAAUAGUUCUAUAUAUACUCUUAACUCGGCUUAAAUAGGAUGAUGGUUAGGUCCAAGAGGUUAAGUGAGUUAAGCGUGGUAGGACGUAAGUACCCCUACGAUGGGUGAUCUUCUGGGAAGUUGUAGGCGUCGUAGUUAAUAUCAUAGUCAAUUACCAGUCGAAAAUGUGAGAUAAGUUGCGACUAAGUUAGGGUUAUACAGCAGAGAAAGCGAAACUCUUAUACUGUUUACUGUUGUGGACGGAGCGCGACUCCCCCAUAAGAUCGGUUUAGACUAGCGAGACGAGUCUCACAUCGCCUAGUACUUGUGAAUCUGAGCCUGACAAGAAUAUCAAGGCUUAAGAGGGGGACAAUGUGAGACCUCAGAUAGUCCUAUAUAUGAUAUAGUAAAGCUAAUACUCUUAACUCGGUUUAAGUAUUUUGGAUGAUGAUUAGAUCCAAGAGGUUAAAAGAAUUAAGCGUGCUAGGACGAGAGUACUCCUAAGAGGGGUGACCUUUCAGGAAGUUGGAGCGUCACAACAGUAAUCUACAACUCAUAAAGUACUUGCAGUACAUAUCUAUUUCUUUGUUGGUUGGCUUGGCCAUUCCAAAUAUAUAUUAAGGUACUGAACAUUGUACACAACAGUAAUCUACAACUCAUAAGAGUACUUGAAGUGCAUAUCUAUCUCUUUGUGGGUUGGCUUGGCCAUUCCAAAUGUAUAUUAAGGUACUGAACAUUGCUUUACAAACUCUACUUACAAGUUACAAGUAUAUUCUGGAUUUAAUAUUGUGGUUGUUAUCAUUCUUCUUCUUUUCAAUAUUUUUUAUUUUCCUCUGUUUGAAAGACAAAAUUUUAAGAUUAUUUUGGCCUUUUGAAUGAUGUUAUGAAAGUUUACGUAUAUACUAAUUACAUGUAUUAUCUUUUGGAAUUCAUAUGAACUGUUAACUCAUCAAAUUUUCCUACCAUAAAUUUUUUUAAAAAUAAGCUAUUAGCUCACCACACUAUAAACUUAACUGUAAUGAUAAGACAAGCACUUUUUGGAGACUGCUAAUAGGCUUCAUAUUCCUACCAUCUAAUUUUUUUGCUCAUACCUAAAAAUCUUAUUGUAAAUAAAAAAAAAAAUAGUUAUUUAUGCAGUUUCACUAAAAAAAUGGAACAGCAUAUAUACUUCUAUAUACAUUUUCCGACUUUUUUUUGACUCAAUAGCAUUAGGCGACUCAUAUGCUCUAUCUAAAAAUUAGUCAUAUAGUAAAAGACCCGACCUCGCAGUUUCAAUACAUUUUAUCAGGUAUACAUGGUUCAUGUAUUUGUUAGAAAAUUGCGUACGGUAAAAACGCAGCGGAAAAAGAAAUCAAACAAAUUUGAUUUUGAAAAACUCUCGAGAUCUAAUCUCAAAACCACGCAAUUAGGAUCCCUCAUGUUCUUUAAGAUUAAAGGAGAAAAGCAAGAUCGAAUCUUUACCUUUUUCGCGGAUAAAUCUUCACCUCAAUUUGAUGAUCGUGGAAUUCGGUUCUCUUGAAGCCGCACACGCGUCCGGCCUCUAUAGGUAUCCACACGAGAUUCUUGAUUUGAUGGAUGUCCUCACCGGGGUGCUAGCUCCCUUGCAAAAGGACGUCUUUCUUGCUAGAAGAUGGAAGAGAGAAGAGAGGAUAGAUGACGGCUUGGGUUUUCUAAAAACUCCCGUAUAUUAUAUAUAGGAAUAUAAUCCUAUUCCUAAUAAUAUAAUGANCACCAAUGACACAUGUCUCAAAUUCUCAACUCUUGAGAAUAUAUGUCAUCAUCUUAUUAAUUCUUUGGACGAUUCAUGGACACAUACACAACAUGAAUGGAAAUAAAAACCCAAAGUUAUUCACAAUAUUUUAAAGUCAAAUACAAAUUUAUGUCCUAGAAAGAAUAUAUGUGUCGGCCUGGUUGGCUUCUAGGGCAUACAUCUAACAGUAUUUUCAUAGAAUUACAACAAAAUGCGAGAGUCUCUUAUAUUUAGUAAAUAAAAUCUCAUAUGGUAUUAUUGUUUUUUUAUACUUUGUUAAGUAUUAAUUUUAUAUAAUUUGAUGUGUCAGAAAAUCAUCAGAAAAAAAAGGACUCAUCUUUUAUUGCUAUAAUUAGUUAGCUCAUGCAUUACAAUAUAUCUGAUUAGAUGAUAAAUGGCAAUUUAUUUAAAAAAUAACUUACAAGUAAGAAAAAGCAUUUCUAAUUUUUUAAAAUGUUUUGAAUAAAAAAAUUUCAAGCAAUAUAGGAUUUAAUCUUAUAUUUUUUUAGCCACAAACUUUUAUUUUAAAAAUAAAAAAAUAAAUAAGAUACCAAACGAAGGCUAAAUUAAUUAACAUCUCACUGUCACAAAGCACGUCACUCCACGUUCCUCAACAGCGUCACAUUAACAAACCCGCUUUCAAAAUAAACAAAUCGGUAAAUUAAUAACAAACCCGAAUCCGAUAACAUGUAUCAGCAUGCAUGGAUCCUUCGUCCUCUUCGUGUAAUUAUAUCCCUGUUCAUGUACAGUGAGCUCUUUGUACGUAUUUGUAUACAUACACAAGCUUGUUGCGUGGUGUUUCUCUCUCUAUAUGUAUGCAACCCCCACGUGCGUGCAUGAUUUAAAUUAUAAUUCCUAUACCUCGGAUCGAGCCAUCUAUAAUAUAAUAAUUGUCCGGUGAUUUUAUUGGCAAAACUGAUUUUGAUAUUGGUUGAUAGGUUCGUUGAUUCUCUGAUAUGUUGCUGCUAUUAAAAUUGUUAUGUUUAAUGUCACUUUUUAAAGUUUGUAAGCCUCAAUUAGAAUAUAUAGUCGGGCAAUGAGCUUCAAAUCAUCAGUUUUGAUUUUUUUUUUUUGAGAAAAAUAUAAUAAGCUAUUCGUUUCUUUCAUUCGAAAAAAUGAAUUUAUUAUCAGUGAUAAAGCCAAUCAGGACCUUUGAAAAAUAAAAAUAAAAAUAAAAAUAAAAAUAAAAGUAAAUAAAAUAAAAUAAAAUACAAAUAUUAAAAGAAGAAGAAGAAGAAGAAGAAGAAAAUAGCAACUCAACGAAGCACCUUCCACGCGCUCCGAUAUCACGCGAAAAAAAUCAAAAUAAUUAUACUUUAGUAUUUCCUAAUAACAUCAACUAGUGAAAAAUACGGUGUUUUGAAAUGUUGUACACAACAUUGCAUCUUACAUACCAACUGUCCCUAGAGCAAGUGGUAAAGGGCUUGGUGGUUGGUACCCGAGGUCCUAAACUCGAAUCCUAGUUGAUUCAUAUUUUAAGAUAAGUAUAUUUCUAGAUGAAAUAAACGAAGCGGUAGCGUGCUACCUAUCUCUCUCUCUCUCAAAAAAAAAAAAAAAAAAAAAAACAUUGUAUCUUACUUUUGGCCUGAUUCGAAACGUUGAAUGGAAACAAAAGUGGACUUUAAAACAAACAAUGAAAGUUGUCAUUGUAGAAGCGCUUCUAAUGUCACACUUAGGCCUGUUUGGCAAUUUAAUUGGUGGCUAAAAUUAUUAUUUUUAUACUAUAAAAGAUCCGAAAAUUUAAAAACGCUUUCAAUCUUGUCUUCUUUUAUACUACAAAAUUACAGUUGCAAUCGUUACCGGAAAAGCGUGUGUUGCAACCGCUUUUAAAACAUUGGAGAAGUAAAAAUUGAAAGCACUUUUAAAUAUUUUUAGAUCUUUCAUAGUACAAAAAUAGUAUUUUUAGUCACUACAUUAUUAAAAUAGGCCUUAAAACAUGAAUAAUUUAUUCUUAAUUUGAAUUACCACUACUCUGUAGUACAUCAGUAUAAUUUCUCUAUCGUAAUCUAUAAUCUUAUUUACUGCAAGAAAAUAAACCCCAUAAGAUUAUUAUAUAUAUGUUGAGUACAAUUCGUUUAUUAUGGGCCUAUAUAUAUCACUACAACAGAAUUAGGUUAUAGGGACACAUGUUUGGGACACUUUUGAGUAAGUGUCCCAUUUAUAUUAAAACUUAAAAACACAUCUACUAAUGCCUAAAUAUAAAGCCCAAUCCAAUCAAAAAUAAAAGAUUACUCUACUCAACCCACCACACCCAGUCCAUUUGGCCCGAUUACAAACAGAAAAGAAAAAAAAAAAAGAAAAAUCAAUUACCAUCUUUUCUUCUUUCUUCACUCAAUCUACUGAAAUUCUAGACGAAGAGCCUUUACUGUCGUCCCCCUCCGCCACUGCAGCCAACGAGAUAGAGUUUCGGCGGUUGCUAAAUGCUUAAAUAAGUGUUGGUAAAUUAGCAGCACUCUUUUAGGUUAUAGCGACACUCUUUAACUGUCACUAUAUACCUAGCGAUCCCACAUAUAGCAACACUUUUUAAAAGUGUCGGUAAUUUUAGCUAGCAGCACUUUUUUGACAUGUACCUAUAUUUAAAAGUGUCGCUAUAGACCGUUUUUGUUGUAGUGUAUAGUCAUGUUCUUUUAAAUAUUUAUCAACGUAUUUUGAAACUUGUUUGUCAAAAUGAAAAACUUAUUCUGUGAUAUGAUUUUUAGACUAGAAAUGACUUUUACAGCAUAGUGUGGCAUGCAUGUUGUAAUAAUAUACAAGAUUUUGUAUUCUACAAGGAGAAUAAAGAGGAAAACGAGUAAAAAAAAGAGAAAAAGAAAGAAAAAAAAGACCCAAGUGGUCCAAAUUAAGACGAUUUAGCAUUUUGAUGAUGCGUAUGGUUUUUUAGUUAUAUUGCAUGUGCACUGGUCUAGCUAAUUGGUCCCCCUCGAUUGAAUCUUCAUUAAGAAACCAUCUUUUCUUUUCUUUUCUUUUCUUUUCUUUUCUAAUCUUUUUCUCUAAAAAAAUCUGUUAAAUUAUGUGAAACAAUCAUUAAUUGUUCUCCAAAAACUUAAAUUACCCAAAAGAUGACGUUUCUAAUAUUUGUAUACAUUAAAUUAUGUGACGUAAUCAUUAUUCUCUAAAAACUUAAACCAUAGCUACCAGAGAACAUUGUUUCUAAUAUUUAUAUUCAAUAGAACCCUCCUUUUUUUUUCUUUAGGUUGAUUUAUAUAAGUUAGGUUAGUUAUGGUACAUAUUCUUAUAGUGACAAGGUAACCACAUGACUAGAAUGUUGUUUCCCUGCUCAUGGAAAAAGCCCCACACCUCAUGCUUCUCUUUAAUUUUUUUGCUUGCUCCUUUUUUUCUAUGAAAGCUGCUAUGUAGAGCCCCUUGGCCACCUAAGAAAGGCCACAUCUUUAUCACAUCAAAGUAUAUUGUGGGGCUACACCUAACUCUCCUCCUUGCAUGCUUUGGAGAAAAGGGUUCAACCCUAAUUAAUUAAGUUUAUAUAAAUUAGUAAUGCAUGAUUAUGAUAAACUUGGCCUACAUUAGUACAACCACUGCGAAAGCAGUGAAAAGAUGUUAAUCGUGCUAGUUCUAACGAGAAGCAGGUGCGUAAGAUUGAAUCAUUAGCCCUUAGUAUGAAAUUACGAAUGGAAUUCACGAGUUAAAAUUAUUUUUUUUUAUCACAAGUACUAUGUUUGUUUAGUUUUUUUCUUGUUUAUUAUUGAACGGUAAUUAAGGUUAGAUUUCAAAUCUUAUGAAACUUAUUAGGAAGGAAUUUUCUAUAUUUCUAGAACUAGGAAAUUUAACUUCAAUUAACAUCAUGAGCAAUUCAUAUACUCAAAUCAGUUGCAAACUAUUUGGCCUGUACUCAAGCACGAUUCCCGAAGUAAUUAAUGUACAUGCAUGAAACUCUUGAUAUAUACUUUACGAAAGGUUAAAAAAAAAAAAUCUGACACUGAUACCACUAAUGAAUCGAGAAGCAAAUUACGAAAAAAAGAGAGCAAAAAUAAACUUCUACAAGCGUAUAACUUCAAUAGACCAAGAAUAUUGAAGAGGUUUUGUGGCCCUAUUGAAGCUUAGUUAUGAAAAAUCGAAGAUUGAGCUGUUCGAAAAAGCUUUGAGCUUAAGCUACAUAAGAAUUUGAUAAAGCUUUCUCUUUCGGGUCUAAAAGCUUGCGAUAUGUAGCUUUACACUAUCUUUAAUUUUCUAGUUUUUAGAUCGACUAGUCAUUUAAAAAGGGGAUGAUCAUGAAUCGACAACUACAUAAAAAUGCUAUUCUAACCAAAUUAAAACUAUGACUCUAACUAAUUAACUACUAACAUCAAUUUCCCUAUUCUAACUUUUAAGGUACACUGAGUAGGUAACUUAGUGCCCUCCCACUUGACUAGACUUAAUUUAGCCUAUUAGUUGGACCAUAAGCAACCAAACCACCAAAAAACAAGUGUAGGUAACAUGUGACUAUGACUUGUCAUCAAGAAUUUCCCUAGAUUUUAAAAAAUUUCAAUAUCAAUUUCCCUAGGGUUGAUCUACCAUGUUAGUGUGGACUACAUUUUAAUUUUUUUUCCCUUCCUUUCGCUAAAAAUUAUUGCUGGAUUAUUUUCUGUUAGAUCGAGUUUUUGCAUCCUAAGUUACGAUCCUAAACCCCUUAUAUUCCAAAUUGCUUUAGGUUUAAUUUUCACAACUGACAUAUUUUCUAAUCAAUUUUAUCACAUUAUAUUCUGCCUUUUCUUUCAAUUUUUACUUUAUAACAACAAUUUUUAAAUAAAGAAAGGACAAAAUCACUUGAUAGUAGAGAUUUAGAUUUUGUUUGGACUUGUAAAUAUUUCGUUAAGCAUAUCUUUUUUCAUUUAAUUCACAAGCAUAAUUAGAUGACUAAAUAGGUAUAUUAUAUUCAAUUUUCAAGUUAUUGUUUUUGGAGGAAUAUAAGUUAUCUCGCUGAUAAAUUAUAAUAUCCUAAUUUAAUAUAAAUAUGAAAAUCUUGCAAAGAAAAAAAAAUCAAAUUUGUAUUUAUAAUGUAUAAAUUAUUAUAAUGAACCAUUUCUGUGGUCCAUAGCUGAUGUGGCGGACCAUUACCACCAAAAGAAUUCUUUUAAAGACACCAUUUUCUUAUUAGGUCCUUAAAGUUAUUGUGGUUGCUAGGAUCUUAAAUAGAGCACACCAUAUGAUAAAAAUUCGAUUUCAAUUUUUUUUCUUCUCCCGUAACGCCUUUUACAUCGCUUUGCUGCAUCAAAACUGCUUACAUUUCAACUUGUUGAGGACCGAAACUGCUCGAGUAAUCAAACUUUUAGAUCUUAAAUUUUGUCGACAUUUUAAACAUCCAAAUGAAAAGACCAACUAAGAUAUCUAUUUAUUGCAAUAAAAGUAAAAAAAAAUCUAGUUUGUUGGUGCGGUAAUAUUGAAAGAUAAAUGAUAAAAAGAGAAGAAAAAUAAGACAUAUAAUAUUUACGUACUUUAACUACGGACUAGCUAUGUCUAUAGGGGCUACGUCUAUGGACAAUGACGAAGCAGGAAUUUUAAUUAUAACCAAGGAGUACAGAAUAUGCAUCUCUUACAAAAUUCUAAGUCUCAAAGUAUAUGCUAUGCUCUCUCUCCUCUGUGUAUCAAAUUACAUUGAAUAAUUGAUAUAUUUAUACAGAACUGAGCUGGAAUACUAUCAAUAGUAUUUAGACUAUUUUGCUAUCGAUUUUUUAGCCGUUAGAUCUAUACUUUGAUCAAUUCCACUAUUUAGAUUAUACUAUUCAACCAACCACUCACUCAACCCUAAGAGGACCAUCAUUAAAUUCUGGAAGAUCAUUAUCAUUCCAACUCUAUAAUUUUUUAUCUAAAGGUUAAAAACUCAAUAGCAAAAAAACUUAAAUACUAUUAAUAAUACUCUAGCCCAAAUACUAUUUAUAUAUGUGACUAAAAUCUUUAUA